CGGCUUUCUCCGCCAUCCUCGUCCCCAGAGCGAGCUUCAUGCAAUGGGUGGCUCCUCACAGGAUCCAAUCGGUUAGGCAUUUUCGAGGGUACAGAGAAACAUGGCAUUUUGGUUCCUGGGAAUAUGGCUGGUAUAUUGAAAUGUCAUGUGACGUGAUACAAGAUAACAAACUUAGGUUGUCAAACAAGCGAUGCGGUUAUAGAUAUGUCGGGCGAGACCUUUUUCGCGGGUUUCUUUCAUUUGUUCGUUUGGAUGAAACCAGUUUUUGGUAUUGCCUUGAUGAUGCUACAAAAUAAAAAUAAAGCUGAUGCAAUUGUAUCCUAAAUUGAAGCUGUCAUGUGAUGUUAUUGAUGUGUGUCUGGCGCGCGCGGUGGGUUUCUUUUUGUUCUUUGGAAUGAAAUGGUGCAAAUGAUGUUGAUGCUGCAACUGAAUGAAGUUUAUGUAGGAAUGUUUCAUGGAAUGCCGAUUUUGCGGGUUUCGUUCUGAUCUCGCCUGUGUAAAAGUGGGGCCCAGUAAGCAGUGGAACAGCAGCUAAAAAAGAAAAAACUUGUUCCGUCGCCGGGACUUGAACCCGGGUCUCUCGGGUGAGAGCCGAGUAUCCUAACCACCUAGACUACGACGGAGUUGUGAGAAAUUUAGAAUGAGAAUUUACUUAGACAUCAAGUUGUGACAGUUCAGUUCAACAAAUCAACACAUUAGAGCAUCUCCAACACACGCGCCAAUUUAGCCGCGCGCUGAAAAGAAAAACACUUUCUAACGCGCGCGGGACUGAAACUAGCGCUCCAGCAGCCGCGCAAAAAUCACGCGCGGGGUAAAGUUGGUUCAGCGCGCUGUGUAUUUGGUGUGCCAGCUAUCGCGCGCUGGACAACGAAUAUUUGCGCGCGAGACCAACUACCACCCUCUUCCUCUUCGUCCGCCCCGCCACGCCCGGCGCCGUCGCCGAUGAAAUUGCACAGAUGGAAGCCCGCACCGACAUCCCCCCAAACCCUCCCUAUACUCGCAACCCCGCCCCCGCCGUUGUCGCCGCCGCAAACCCUAGUGCGGGCUUGAGCUUCGGCUUCGCCGCCGGCGCCCCUCCUCCUCCAAGCACCGGUCUUGCGCGCGGCCUUUUCAUGGCGCCCCGAACCACCUCGCAUGGUGGCGAAAUGGCGUCGCCGCCCGCCGUGAAGCCACGGGGUUCUGUCUCCAAGCGACCGAAUGCGGCGGCGGCGGCGACCGAAAAGAAGAAGAAAGGGGACGACACUCCUAGAAGCAUGAAGAAGAAACUUGCAUCACAUCCGGCCGCGCGUCCGCUGCCCGAAGCGCCGGAAAGCUCAUAAUUUGUUGCGCCGGCGGCCGAUGCGCACAAGGUGUUUGAUGAAAUGCCUACAAGGUAUGGUUUUUUCCCUCUUUUCUUUUUGCUGUAUACAUAUGGAUAGCUUGAUUAGUUUUUCUUUAUCAUACUUUGUAGUUUCAAUGAUGACACAUACAUGUCAACUAUGGGUGUUGGCUCCAACAAUUCUCAUUGGUCUCAAACCAAUGAAGUGCAUGAGGAUGAUCAUUAGUAUGAAGUGGAUGAGGAUGGUGAGGGUAUCGUCGAUGCACCAAAAAAAGGGUGUGCAACUACACAAUUAGGAAGACGUCUUGCUAUGCAAUACAUGGUUGACCGUGUCUAUGGAUGCCACCGUUGGAGGGGACCAAUCUAGAGAUACAUAUUGGUUUCAGAUGAAGGAGUUCUUUGAUACACACAACAAGAGUGGUAUUGAGCGCACCGAUAGAUCUCUUCGCUCCCGGUGGUCGACGAUCAACGAAGAUUGUCAAAAGUGGGUGGCGGCAAUGAAGUCGAUUGACACGUUGAGCCCAAGUGGCACUAAUGAUAGAGAUAGGGUAAGUGACAUUUCUUUAUGUUCCAUGUUGACGCUUCAUCUUUUGUGUUUUAAGUAGUAAAUUUUCUUUUGUUUGUAGCUCAAUAUUGCACAAAACUUGUUUCACGGAGAAGAGAAGAAGACCAAGAAAGGCAAGGUCAAGAGAAGGAGAGCAUUUGGGUUGCCCUGUUGCUACGGAGUGUUGAAGGAUGAAGAAAAAUGGAAGCCCCAUGAUGAUGUCGAAGAGGGGAGCAAGAAACACAAGAGAACUAUUGAUUUGGAUGAUGAUGAUGAGGAGGAGGCAUCAAGUGAUGGCGGCAAGAGGAGCCCAACACCAAACUCGAUUGCCUACUCCAAGCCUAAAAGACCAAAUGGAGAUAAACAAGCAAGAGAAAAUAAGAAGAAAAAGGGAGUGGAUGAUGAGAUAAAGAAUGUUAUGGAUGCUAUUGUGAAGGAAAGGAAGGAAGCAAACGAGGAUAGGAGGCUGGCAAGGAGCCAAGAGUCGGCGGCGGAGGAGAGGAGGGUGGCGGCGGAGGAGAGGAAGGUGGCAUUUGAAGAAAUUAGCCAUAGAGGAGCAACUAGAUUAUUGGAAUGGGAGAAGUACUUGAUCUUCACAGACACAUCUAACCUCGAUGCCAGGCAAAAGGAGUUCAUCAACCUUUUCCCUGAUGAAUUCUUGGUCCAAAAAAGGUUGACGACCAUGGGAGGCUUGGGAGCUACCAUGGGAGGCUUGGGAGGUAUGGGAGCUACCAUGUGAGGCAUGAGAGCUACCAUGGGAGGCUUGGGAACAAGCAUGGGAGCCAUGAGCGCCAUGUCCGGCAUGGGUGGCAUGGGACCACCCGCGGGAGGCAUGAGUGGCUUCGGAGCUAUAAUGAGAGGCAUGAGUUUUGGGUCUCUCAAUGGGAGGCAUGGUAGCACCUCCGGGUGACAUGGGAGGCAUGGGAGCACCUCCGGAUGACAUGGGUGGACGCAUGGCUUUCGGUGUGCCUCACAUGCCUUCGCAUGAUGCCUUUGGAGAUAGUGCCAACACCAUCCGAGUUUCCAAUGAGAAAGACGAGAAAGAAGAGGAGGAAGAAACGGAUGAAGAGGAGGAUAAAGAAGAUGAGGCAUGAUUGUUGAUGUUUCAUUCGUUUGUGUGAACUAAUUUGUCAUGAACUUGGUUGUGGUUUGGGUGAUUUUGAACUAUGCCAUGUUGCCCUAACUCAUUAUUUUGCAUAUUUGUUAUGUUUGAGAUCAUCUUAUUGUCAAAUUGGUGUGUGCUGUUUCAUAUGUGCCCAGCGCUGGUUGAUCACGUGCGCUGGAUUUUGUAGCGCCUACUGCGCUGCAACGGCGCGCUAAAAUUUGCAGCGCCUAGUAAAGCAACCCAGCCCCCACGCGCGAAAAUGCUAUUUCGGCGUUGUAAAUGUUUUUUAGUGCGCGGUCGCGCGUGUGUUGGAGAUGCUCUUAGGCCAUACAAGGACACAACUCCAUUUUUCUUUUGAAGGUAUACAAGGACACAAUUACAAGCAGGCUAGUAUUGAAUAUCAUAUUACAUUAGCUAGUGCAACACUGCUGCUAACUGAUUCCAUUUUGAAAGUUCCGUCCUUCACACACAGCUUACUUGACCAGAAGGUGGAAGAUGGCUUGGCUACUGCCACACUGCUGCUGCUAUACUCGCCGGCUGGCAAUACUUGAUUGGCCCUACUAACCCAACCCGAGUGCAGAUUCAGGCGGAGGGUGUCAUACAGUGAUCCUUGACGGUCUUCGUGGACAACCUAGCCAUGCCGGACAACCGGGUGCAUCAAUCUAUACAGCUUUAGAAGAAAAUCUAGCAACAUCAAGCGUUGACGUCUAGCUGGAGGCGAAGGUUGCCCCCAAUCAGUAGUGAAGCGACCGCCCAGCUACCUUGGGCAGUUGCCCGGGCUCCACCGACAAACCCUUCAUUGGUAUUAGUGUUGUACGAGUGUUCUGUUUCAAUUUUGAUAGGCAUUUUCUUGCCAAGGAAAUUCUCCCUCCAUCUCAAAAUGUAAGACGUUUUCUGACACUAGUGUAGUGUCAAAAAACGUCUUACAUUAUGGGACGAAAGGAGUAGUUGUGAAACCCUGCCCAGGCUUCUUGUACGUGCUGCUGAUGAACAAACAUACUUUGUUUGGGACCCAAAACAACAGUUUUGAAGUUAUAGAACUAAACUGACCCACCUUCAAUAGUUUAAAGACCUAAAACUGCAGUUUUAAAAUUACAGGACUAAACUUACACAUCUCCUAUAGUUUAGGACUUAUGAUGCAUCUUACUCAAUGAUAAAUUUAAGCUAGCCUACCCAGUUAAUUUUGCGGAAUAUGAUUAGGAUAGCAAGCUCUUGGGUUGGGAGAGCCAGGUCACUGGGUGCUUUCCUGCACAGCCUGACUGAACCUCGUUGGCUCAUUUCCAAUCAUGAGCUCCCAACACUCUGUUAGUACAACAUAUGAUCUACAGGCAAUGCAUCUUGCAACUCUCAAUGUCUCCCAAUCCUACGUACUAUCCAUGAUUUUCAUCGGCCUGUCAUGCUUAAUUUGUGUCAUCGACUUAACUUGUGUGGAUGCUAAAGCAUUCGCAUGUCUACGAUUCUUCGUUAUACUUAGUGCAUCUUGAGCUCUCCUCACAAGUAUAAUAUAUUCUAGAUUCCGAGGGUCCUAAAGAGAUGGCAUAGAAGGUUGUGGUGGAUAACAAGCACAGUUGAGAGUUGAGGCAGUUGCUAAGGAUUAGUGGCACAUCAUGCAUGACAGUCACAUGACAAGCUACUUGAUACUCCAUAUGCGCCAAAUCCCUUUUAAUUUUGUUGUCAAAGGGGCCUUUCAAUUUCAUUGACUUUAAAAUAUAAGACACAAUUUUUUAAGAAGCCAAACAUUAUAAUUUUUUCCAUAUAUUUUUGUGCAUAUUCUUGAUUAUAUUGAAGAAAAAAAAUCCAUUUUACUAUCCUGAAUAAAGUGGGUGGUUCACUUUACUCCAUGAUCAAUUUUUUAGCUUCUUUUACCCCUAAACAAACCCAAACCGGACAAAACACCCCAUGGCUGGUUUUUCUCCACCCGCUGCUGAUGUGGCACUAGUCAACGGCGGUUUUAACCUAGGUGGGGCCCCCUUGUCAGGUUUCUCUCGCCUCUCUCUCUCUAGGUCGGAUUCGCCGCCAACCGAAGGAGCUCGCCCCGGGCCGAUCCGGGCCCAGGAGCCGCCACCCUCUCCCCGUCAUCGCGCCGGCGCCCUGCCAGAGGAGCCGCAUCCAGCGCCAGUCGCGGAUCGCCCCGUCCCAGCAUCGCCGCCUCUCGCCGACCCGGCCGGCCACGUCAUCCCGCUGCCGCGCCCGAGUCACCCACACCCCACUUCCAUCACCGCAUCACCAGGAGCCGCCACCCUCUCCCCGCCAUCACGCCGGCGUCCUGCCAUAGGAGCCUCGUCCCACGCUAUCGCGGAUCGCCCCGCCCCUCGCCGACCUCGCCGGCCACGCCAUCUGCCACCGCGCGAGCCCGCCCCGAGUACCCACCGCUGAUGGUUGCCACCACUGCCUCGACCCCGCGCGCCACCGCCUCCUACCAACCCCGCCUGGCCCUGCUCUGCUCGCCGGCGGGUGCAGUGGCAGCUAGAGAGAGAGAGAGAGAGAGAGAGAGAGAGAGAGAGAGAGAGAGGGAGAGAGAGAGAGACCUGACAAGGGGGCCCCACCUAGAUCAAAACCGCCGUUGACUAGUGCCACAUCAGCAGCGGGUGGAGAAAAUCUAGCCAGGGGGUGUUUUGCUUGGUUUGGGUUUUUUUGGGGGUAAAGGAGACAAAAAACUACCACAAUUCGUGGAACCGUGUCUACAAACUACCACUUUACAAAUUUGUGCGGAAAACUACCACUUUUUCACUAAUCUUUAACUAAAAACUACCAUGUAUGAAAAGUGCCCGAUUCGACUUGUUUAAACUCGAUUAUGACAGGGUUGGCCCACAUGUAAGCAUUGACCGUUAGCGGCCGCGCCGCCGGAGCACUGCCGGCCAAGAUCCGCCACGGGCAGGCCCCAGGCCGCCGCCUGGUCGCUCGCCGUGCCUGCAGGUCACGCCGCAGGGAGGCUCCAAGCCGCCGCCCGGUCGCCAUGGACCCGUUUGUGCUUGUCGGCGUCUGCGGCGCCGUCUGGGCGCUCCAUGCGGGGAGCGGCGAGGAGCAGCGGCUGCGGAUUCCACCCCCACCGAGCAGGUGACUCCUCGAGGUGUCGCGGGAGGCGGGGCAGCUCCGACGGCGAAGGGCGCGGGGCGGGCGGCUCCGGCGGCGAAGGGCAGCGGCGGCGGCUCCAGGGGCGAAGGGCGGCGGGCGGCACCUGCGGCCAAGGGCAGUGGCUCCAGCGGCGAGCGGUUUUCGCGGCUGCACCUGUUGGCCACUCUGGCGCCUGAACUAUGGGCCCGGCCUGGCAGAAACGUGAUUAACCGCGCUGAAGCGGGCGGUUCCCCGACUUGGUAUUUUGUUGCCACUAAUUAGGUGAAAAGUGGUAGUUUUCCGCACAAAAUCGUAAAGUGAUAGUUUCUGGGUACGUUUCCAUGAAAUGUGAUAGUUUUUGUUUAAAUACCCGGGGUAAAAGAAGCAGAAAAAUAGAGUAGGGGGUAAAGUGAACCACCCAUUUUAUUCAGGGUAGUAAAAUGGACUUUUUUUCUAUAUUGAAUAACCCUUUAAUUCGCACCGUUCCUUGUCAUAAGCCAGUUAGGGCCCUAGAUAUCCUUUCGUGACAUCCUUAAAACGGUAAGCCAUGUCGUUCUGUGACAGGAAAUUGAUGUGAAAUAGAUUCGCAAAACCAAAAUUUCGAGUGAGUGCAAUGGAGGUAUAUUGGAAGCCAAGUUUGGCAAGUCAUGGCGCAAACAAGCCAUCCUUGUAUUAUAGUUGCACGACUGAUGGAAGAGUGAAUUUAAUUUUUUUUAAUCCAUUUAUCAAAUUCUCAUUCGGAUUAACCCAUUUAGUGAGUAUUCUGACAAUUAUAACUCUAUUCAGCGAUCUACCAUGUGGGCAGGUGUCUGUUUGUCAACAGGUACACAUGGCAUGUCACGUCACAAUUUUCCUUCUCAUGUCCCCCUCCCCCCAACAUGUAGAAUGGCUGAGCCGGAUACAAUUUUUUUUCUCACCAUUGUGAGGUAUACGCACGCAUCUCUUUCUCCAUGUCACACAACUAAUUAUUCAUUGCUUCCACUUCAUUCUUCUUCACCAAAUUUGCUUUCAGGUGUUGCAUCAUACCAGACAUAGGUGGAGAUCAGCAUGACCCGAAGCCCAAUAAAAAUAAUUUACUACAUGAAAAAGAUCUAAUAAAAUCAUAAUAAAAAUUGCAUGAUGCGUCUAUUUCAAGCAAUAUCGGACAUUUCCUAACAAAAAUGGCAUACAUUUUCUUGCUUUUCCUGUGUGGCAUCUAAAAAAGCAAACCUUUGAGACAUGCAUAGUCAUGGAAUGAAGGCAUGUAGUAAUUUUUCCACCGCAAACCAUUGCGUCGUUGUCUACUUGGAGACAGAGAUACCGGAAAGGCCAUAGAGCACUGAUCGCCUCAUCCCAACAUAUCUCCCUGACAAGAAUUCUUGAUGCGUCCCAAGCCUACAUUACUCAUGACCAGCGACAUCUGUUUGGCUGGGGCACCAUGCGCUAAGGUCUCCACACAGGUAUGUGGUGUGCUAGCUUCAUGGCUAGGCAUAUGAUGAGAGAAAAGAGAGAAACGAAGGUGACACAUAUAUAUAUUGAGUCAGAUAUGAGUGUGAUCUUCAUCGUGAUAAAGAAAAAUAAAAAGCUUCCGGGCAAUUAUAUAGCUCUCAUUAUUUUUGGCACACCUACACACUGCAACUAACCUUUGAGCAUCUGAGGAGGCGAGAGAUGAAGUGUUUGCGACUCCCUAGUAUUGGUAUGUCCUUGCAACGGACCAAGAACAUACUAUGGCAGGUAGUGGUGAGCAAGGUUUUAAUUUCACAAGCAGAAUUUUUUGGUCCUCACUGAAAUAUGCAAAAUUUCAGUUUUUUUCUGCAGACUUUGAUAUAUCAAAAUUCACUUUAUUUUAACCAAUUUUGAUGUAAUUAUACUUUUUCUUGGAAAUAGUUUGAAUCUGGCUCGAAUUUGAGCGUUAAAAUAUUACGGUACCUACCGAAAAUACUGAUACUUUGUUGAAUUUUGUAACCUUGGUGUUGAGUUUGUAUCGAGUGAUUGUACAAACCCGCAAAUUUUAAUUGUUGAUUAAUUACCAUUGUUGAUGUACACAUCAGAACAACUAUAUAUCUCCUUUGAAAUUCCUUCUGCCUGGCUGCUCCUCUCCGAAUGUCUUCUGCCGCACAUGAUUAGCGGCCUCUGGCAUAAGAUACAAGCAACGCUACCCUCUGCUCCCCUCAGUCAGUUAUGUGGAAGGAAGGUCUUGAGUUGGGGAGCGAGCACUAGUGCAUGCACGCAAACAGUUUAACACCUUUCGCUGACGCAAUUUUGACUGGAUGUAAGCUCAGACUAACACCUCUAUGGUGUGUUUUGCAUCGCUAAAAAAAUAGUUCUCCAAGUAGUAGAUUAUAAAAAAGUCCAAUUUGCAUAGUAGGAAGGAAAAGAGAAGUGCAAAAUUUCACUGCGUUUUACUUUUCUCUCGAAGCCGUGGAUGCCGCAGCCCACACUGAUGAUUUUCCUAUGAACUCUUUAGUGACAUUGCCCCUGACGUCUGACAUCGAUUCUUUUUUGCAGUGUGCAAUCCCACACAUUGGUGGCACAUAGCUCGGUUUCCUGUACAACGUGCCUGAGCAGAGCUUCCUGGUUCUCUUUGGCUGCCUUACGCUUCCCGAGUGAAUGUGAUGUCGCCGAGAUGAGCUGGUUCUGACAUGGCAAUUCCAUGGAGAGACAAACUGGCCCGAUUUCGGGCGGCCAAAAGUAGGUUCUGCGCAGUUUUCUCCGUCAUCCUCAUCCUCAGAGUGAGCUUCCCGGAGACGGCUCUGACUCCUCACAGGAUCCAAUCGGUUCGGCAUUUUCAAGGGUACAGAGAAACAUGGCAUUCUGCUUCCUGGGAAUAUUGCUGGUAUAUUGAACUGUCAUGUGACGUGAUACAACAAAACAAAACUUAGGAUGUCAAACAAGCGACACGGUUAUAGGUAUGUCGGGCGAGACCUUUUUCGCGGGUUUCUUUCAUUUGUUCGUUUGGAUGAAACCAGUUUUUGGUACUGCCUUGAUGCUACCAAAUAAAAUAAAGCCGAUACAAUUGUAUCCUAAUGCUUCAUUCUACCGUUUUUAGACUCAGUGGGUUGGUUCUGUAAUAUACUUAUGCUAAACUGUAGUUUCUAUGUAGCCUCUAUUCUUAUAACAGAGUUGGUAACGCUCUGGGGCUGGAUUUUCCUGAAAUUCAGGCCUCGGACCACUCCCGUAGGUUUCUUCCUUGCCUUGGGGUUUUCGGGGAGGAGAAGGGAUGGCUUCUCCUUCCUCCUCAAUUUGGCAGUGAAGUGUUUCGUAGGGGAGUGGAGUAUCAUGCUGGGGAGUUCCUCCUUUUUAUCUUUUUCUGUAGUGAGACCUGGUGAUUUCUAUUAAUGGAAAUCGGAGAGACUGCUCUCUUUUAUCAAAAAAAAAACAAUUGUAUCCUAAAUUGAGCUGUCAUGUGAUACGGUACAACGCCGCGGUUAUAGUGAUUGGCGAGGUGGGUUUCUUCAUCCGUUCGUUCGAAUGAAAUGGUGCGAAACAUACUUAUUCCGUGGGGCCCGGUAACUAGUAAAACAACAAAAAUAUCUUAUUUUUGUGGAAAAGGCCAUGAUAAUGACAGUAUGGCCCAGUAACCAGUGAAACACCUAAAAGAGGAUGGCAAAAAAAACUGAAAAAUUAUGUCGCCGGGACCUUUAGCCCGGGUCUCUCCAAUGAGAGCCAAGUAUCCUAACCACCUAGACUACGACAGAGUUUGUGUGCUAUUAACAAUGACAAACUAGUUAGUCAAAUGAAAUUGUGACAGUUCACUGUGAUGCCAACCAUAACACCUUAGGCUCAGUCUGCACUUCCUGUUGCUAUACUGAAAUCUGUUAAUCACUAUGGAAAUCUUGGCGCUUCUACUGAUACAAAAGAAAAUAAAUCUACCCACACACCUUAAAGAACUUACAUGUCAACGGUCAAUUGUCAUAUAAUCCUUUUUUUGCGGGAGAACUGUCAUAUAAUCAGGAGCACAACUCCGUUUUUCUAGUCAAGGCAUACAAUGAUGUCAUCCAGUCAUCCUUGACAGUCUUCAUGACAACCGAGCCAUGCCAGACAACCGGCAGUAUCAAUAUAUAUACCUUUAGAACAAAAAUCUAGUAAUGCAUGCCUUGCCGUCUAGCUAGAAGUGAAGGAUGGUAUGUCACAGAGCAUCGACCGCCAUCUUGGCUCAGCUCCCCAACAAGGGGGCAAUAGCUUGCCAAGUUGGCCCACGGUAUCAUUUAUGUGCUUCCAUGGGUGGCAUACAUGGUAGCAUUAAGGUUGACGGUGAGUGACAAUGGAACACGGUAGGGUGGGCGAUGGUCGCAACAUUCACAGCACCCGCACCACCAACAACCUUUCUUCAGCCUUUGUCGGUUGCAUGAGCGUGCAACCUGAAAUUCUUGAUGCCUCCAAAGCCUACAUGGCCCAUGACCAAUGACAUGUGUGUCAACUUUUUUUCUGUUUGUAUCAUUGUAUGGAAGUGCAACUAUAUAUACUUACGACAUCAUUGGCCAGCACGCCAUAAGCUAAGGUCUCCACACGUGUAUUAUUGUGCUUGCUUCGUAGGGUUCUAAUGGGAGAAACAAGAGAAGCAAGCGGGAUAUAUAUUGAGUCAGAUAUGUUCUUGCUUGUGAGAAAAAUAAACUCAUGCACAAUUAUAGCUCUCAUUACUUUAUCCCGCUGUGGAACACCUAUCCACUUUCCAAGUAUUCUUAGANNNNNNNNNNNNNNNNNNNNNNNNNNNNNNNNNNNNNNNNNNNNNNNNNNNNNNNNNNNNNNNNNNNNNNNNNNNNNNNNNNNNNNNNNNNNNNNNNNNNNNNNNNNNNNNNNNNNNNNNNNNNNNNNNNNNNNNNNNNNNNNNNNNNNNNNNNNNNNNNNNNNNNNNNNNNNNNNNNNNNNNNNNNNNNNNNNNNNNNNNNNNNNNNNNNNNNNNNNNNNNNNNNNNNNNNNNNNNNNNNNNNNNNNNNNNNNNNNNNNNNNNNNNNNNNNNNNNNNNNNNNNNNNNNNNNNNNNNNNNNNNNNNNNNNNNNNNNNUAUGUCCUUACAAGAGGGCCGAGAACUUAUGGUAGUGGCUAGUGUUGUGUUUGUAGCAAAUAAUUGAACAAACCCACAAACUUAAUCGAUGACAAAGUGAUUACUACAUGCCCUCAUUCCUUGACUAUACAUUGACUUUGAAGCCAAGAAAAAAAUACUUGAUGAAUUGAGAUUGUGGAUCAUUAGUUCAAUUUUGUGGCUCGUGUGCAUCACCAUGGUGCAGAGGACCACCCCUCUUCGGAUGAAAAAAUAAAUCUUACAAUAUUUGUGCAUGUAUGCAUCAAAACAACUGCUACUUUCUUUGAGUUUUGUUUUGCCUGCUAACUCCUCUGAAUGUCGGGCAUGUUUGGUUGUUGUCUUCGCCAACUCGUGCGUCCAAUUUUAGGGGCCUGAGAUUGCAUGUUGCCGACUUGGUGUGAGCUCCAUAUUCACAUCACGAACCAAUCGUACUCUUCUUUUGCCAUGGGUUAUGACGAGCAUGCGAGCAUCCUUGCGCUUGAAGUCCAAGACAAGCUACCCUCCUCGGCCAAUUUUGUGGAACAUGACUAGACAAGCGAACUCUUGGUUUAGGUGAGAUUUGUGGAGUAAAGUCACCGGGUGAGUUCUAUUAAAAACUAACCGAACCACGUUGGCUCGUUUCAAUCCCUCGCCCCAACACUUAUCAUAUAAACUGGGAUCAAUGCAACAUGCAAUUCUGCAUGUCUCCAAAUCGUACAUAUUAUCUUUUGACUUUGAGGCAGGUUGUUGUGACUCGUGAUUAACUUGUGUCAUUGACUUAAUUUUUGUGGAUUCUAAUGCAAUCCUCACAAGUCUACCAAGUCUACAACACGCUUGGUGCAUCCCCAACUCUCCUCACAAGUAUAGCAUGUGCUAGCUUCUCAGGGUCCUAAGGAGAUGGUAGAGAAAUAGUUGUGAUAAAUAUGGAGCACGAUUGAAGUCUGAUCUUGAUGCUUAUAUGGAACUGUAGGAGUGAGCGGUUUUUUAAUCUUUAUGUCUCAUUAUUGUCUUUUGAUGUGCUGCACCUACAACUUUGCAUGUAAUCUGAGAGCAAGUGAAGAGAGAAUGAAGGUGGAGGGUCAAUUUGAAGUUCUUGUCGGCCGAGGGUUGAAUCUUGCUCGGUUCUGAUAGUUAGCGGUUGAAAUUUAGACGGUUUUAAAAUUCAGGGUUGUUCAUUGACUUUGGUGACAACUGAGGGUUGUAAUAUGGACUCCUCUUUUGACAGAAUUGUGCAUCAGUGAUCCCAACUGACGUUCCCUUCUUUGUGUGUGAAGCCGUGGAUGCAUGCACCAGAUAUGAUUUUCUCUCCUUUUUUGUCUAUCCAAGUUGCCCUGUUGAUCUCUUCUACAAGCCACCUGAACUUUCGCACUAAAAUACAAACAAGCUAGAGUGGCAGGAAGGAAAAUGAAUGAUUACACCACAUGCAACAUGGGGUGUAUCAGUGCAUAUAGUUCUGGUUAAACAACCUUCCUGACACAGCUAUAGAUCAUUGAUCGCCAUAGAGCAUUGAUCUCCUCAUCCCGACACAGGUCCCCGGUGAGAACUCUUGAUGCCUCCCAAACCUAAAUUACUCAUGACCAGCAACAUAUGUGUAAUCCAUUUUUCUUCUGUAUGUGAAAUUGCAACUAUACAUAUAUCUAUGACAUGUUUGGCUGGGGCACCAUGCACUAAGGUCUCCACACAGGUAUGUGGUUUGCUAGCUUCAUGGCUUGGCAUCUGAUGAGAAAAAAGAGAGAAGUGAAGGUGACAUAUGUAUAUUGAGUCAGACACUAGUGUGAUCUUCAUCGUGAGAACAGGGAAAAAACUUCUGGGCAAUUAUAGCUCUCAUUAUUUUUGACACACCUACACACUGUGCAACUGACCUUAGAGCAUGCAUGGAGGGGAGAGAUGAAGUGGUCGCGACUCUCGAGUAUUGGUAUGUCCUUCCAAGAGGACCAAGAACUUAUUGUGGCGGGUAGUGUUGAGCAAGGUUUCAAUUUCACAAAUAGAAAUUAUUUGGUCCUCACUGAAAUAUGCAUAAUUUCAGUUUUUUUCUUCACAUUUUGAACUAUCAUAAUUCACUUUAAUUUAACCAAUUUUGAUGUAAUUAAAAUUUUCUUGAAUUAGUUUGAAUCUGGUUUGAAUUGAGGGUUAAAAUAUUACCGUACCCACCAGAAAUACUGAUAUUUUGUUAAAUUCUGUAACCUUGGUGUUGAAUUUGUAUCGAGUGAUUGCAGAAACCCACACAUUUUAAACAUUUAUUACCAUUGUCCAUGCACACAUCAGAACAUCUAUCUCCUCUGAAAUUCCUUCUGCAUGGCAGCUCCUCUCCGGACAACUUUUGCUGCACAUGAUGAGCAGCCUCUGGCAUGAGAUAUAAGCUACACUACCCUGCCCAGUUAGUUAUGUGGAACGUAGAUCUUGAGUUGGGGAGCCAACACGCAUGCAAGUCCAACGCAAACAGGUUAACACCUUUGACACAGUUUUGAAUUGUUGCCUUAUGNNNNNNNNNNNNNNNNNNNNNNNNNNNNNNNNNNNNNNNNNNNNNNNNNNNNNNNNNNNNNNNNNNNNNNNNNNNNNNNNNNNNNNNNNNNNNNNNNNNNNNNNNNNNNNNNNNNNNNNNNNNNNNNNNNNNNNNNNNNNNNNNNNNNNNNNNNNNNNNNNNNNNNNNNNNNNNNNNNNNNNNNNNNNNNNNNNNNNNNNNNNNNNNNNNNNNNNNNNNNNNNNNNNNUCCACGCCGAUUCAUUUUGCGCAGUGCAACCCCACACAUUGGAGGUGCCAAGCUUGGUUUCCUGUACAACGUGCCUGAGCAGAGCUUCUUGGUUCUCUUUGACCGCGUCGAAAUGAGCUGAUUCUCACCUGGGAACUACAUAAAGAGAGAAGCUGACCUGAUUUCAGACUCCUAGCUCGGCUUUCUCUGUCAUCCUCAGAGCAAGCUUCCUGGGAUGGCUGGCUCCUCCUACUAACUUACAGGAACUAGCCGAUUUGACAUUUUUGAGGGUAUAGAGAAAGUUGGCAUGUUGGUUCUCUACUCCUGGGAGUAUGGUAUACUGAGCUUUCAUGUCGAACAAACUUAGGCUGCGAAACAAUGCGGUUAUAGAUAUUGCUCGACAUGACAGACGGGACCCUUUUUUGCCUAUGUGGCAUAACUUUUCGUGCAUGUUCGGUCCUAAUCUAAAAUUACAGAGAGAAAGUUGUGUGUGUUCAGUCCUAAUCUAAAACUACAAAGUAGUCCCUAGAAUUUUAUACAUACACCCCUCCUGAUGUGUAUGUUCCUCUCUCUCUCUCUCUCUCUCUCUCUCUCUCUCUCUCUCUCUCUCCCUCCCUCCCUCCCCCUCCCUCCCUCCCUCCUCCUCCUCCUCCUCCUCCUCCUAUUCGUCUUUUAGCUAGUGACGGGGAGGGCAGUGGAGUGGCUGGCCGAGGCUGACGGAGAUGGGGGGCGGGACGGUGGCGCUCUCCUGCAUCCGAGGAAGGUCGCAACGCUGCUCGAGACAGUCUAUCGGCGUGGCCACUGACGACCGAAGAUGCCACGGCGGCUUGCUCUGUAGAGGCGCCAUGGGAGGGAUCCAACGACGCCAUGUGCUCGGCAACUCCUUUGGAGUGGCCCGCUCGUGUGGGCAAGGCGAAGCUCCAGCCGGAGCAACGAUCGGCGGCGAGCGGCGGCGGUGGGAUCCCGAGCGGUGGCGUGCGGCCGGUGCUUGAGGGUGGCAGGGAGUGCGGGGCAGCGGGCGCGGCCAGCCAGGCAGGGGCGGGAGCGCGGCGGCGGCAGACUGUGGUGGCUGGACAGGGGAACGGCCUGGGUGGCAGAAGGGAAAAGUUGGGGGUGUUUUCGCUAUUUUACCCAUCUAGCACUGUUUUUGGUAAAACGUUGCCACGCAAGUGCAAAGUGGGACCCAUCUGUCAGAAAUGCAUUUUAACGAGCAAGAUCCGCUGAUCAAUGUUUUUUGUAAAAAGAUUACACAAGAUGUGGUGCUUUCUGUCAAAAAAUGUAACGUAGUGUUUUUUUGAAAUUCCUUCAGCCUGGUAGCUCCUCUUCGGAUGCCUUUUGCUGCACAUGAUGAGUAGCCUCUGUCAUGAGAUACAAGCUAUGCUACCAUGCUCAGUCAGUUAUGUGGAACGUGACUAGACUAGCUAGCUCUUCAGUUGGGGAGCCAACACUAGUGCAUGUAAGUCCAACGCCAACAGUUUUAACACCAUCUGCUGACACAUUUUUUGAACUGUCACCUUAUGAAGNNNNNNNNNNNNNNNNNNNNNNNNNNNNNNNNNNNNNNNNNNNNNNNNNNNNNNNNNNNNNNNNNNNNNNNNNNNNNNNNNNNNNNNNNNNNNNNNNNNNNNNNNNNNNNNNNNNNNNNNNNNNNNNNNNNNNNNNNNNNNNNNNNNNNNNNNNNNNNNNNNNNNNNNNNNNNNNNNNNNNNNNNNNNNNNNNNNNNNNNNNNNNNNNNNNNNNNNNNNNNNNNNNNNNNNNNNNNNNNNNNNNNNNNNNNNNNNNNNNNNNNNNNNNNNNNNNNNNNNNNUCCAAGUUGAAUCUUUUUGCAGAGUGCAAUCCCACACAUUUGUGGCGCCGAGCUAGGUUUCCUCUAGAGAGCGUGCCUGAGUAGAGCUACUUGGUUCUAUUUGACCGCCUUAUGCUUUCCGAGUGAAUGUCACCGCGUCGAAAUGAGCCGAUUCUCAUCUGGGAACUGCAUACAGAGAGAAACCGGCCUGAUUUCAGGCUCCUUGAACGGCUGGCUCUCUGUCAUCCUCAGAGCAAGCUUCCUUAGACGGGCAUUUCCUCCUCUACCUUACUGGAACUAGUUGAUUCGACAUUUUUGAGGGUACAGAGAAAGCUGGCAUGUUGGUUCUCUACUCCUUGGAGUAUGGUAUACUGAGCUUUCACGUCCAACAAACUUUGGCUACCAAACAAUGCGGUCAAAGAUAUUGCCCGGCGUGACCUUUUCAUGGUCGGGUUUCCUCAUUUGUUCGUUUGGAUGAACCAUUUCGGUAUUGACUUGAUGUUAAAGAUGAAUAAAGUUUGUACUGUUGUAUCAUAACUAUUGCGGGUUUCGUCAUUGUUCAUCUGGAUGAAUCCAACCGUGGAGACUGGUUUUCAGUAUUGUCUUGAUGCUGCAAAUAAAAUGAACUCUCUAUAUAUAUGCUGUAAAUUUGUGAUUCACGUGUGUUCCUUGAGUCUGUUGAUCUUGUGUGAAAAAGUCCAUGGAUGUACAUGCAUUGCAAAGGGGCCCCAGUGGAUGGAAAAUGCAGAAAAAAUAAUAAUAAAAAGAUUCCUUUGCCGGGACAUGAACCCAGGUCUCUCGGGUGAGAGCUGCGUAUCCUAACCACCUAGACUAUGACAGAUUAGAGUGAACUUAUUGUUCAUAAUCAAUAAUACAAAGGUGAACAUUUCUGCUAUUGCCUUGAUGCUGAUGAUGAUGCACAAAUGGAUAAAGUUUGUACCAUUGUGUAGUAAAUUUGUGGGUUUGUCCAUUUGAAUUGAAAGGUUUUGAAAUAUCUUGAUGCUAUACACACUGAAUAAAGACCUUACUUGACCAGAAGGUGGAUGAUGGCUUGGCUACUGCCACACUGCUGCUGCUAUAAUCACAUUCUCACAAUACUUGAUUGGCCCUGCUAACCCAACCCGAGUGCAGAAUCAGGUGGAGGAUGUCUCUCACAGUUAUCCUUGAUGGUCUUUUUGGACAACCUAGCCAUGCCGGACAAUCGGGUGUAUUGGCCUAUAUACCUUUAAAAGCAAAUCUAGCAAUGCACGUGUUGGCGUCUAGCUAGAGGUAAAAGGUCUGGGUAUGCCACAGGGCAUCGAGCGUCGUCUCGGCUAAGCUCCCCAACAAGGGGGAAAUAGCCCGCGGAGUUGGCCAUGGUAUCAUUUAUGUGUUUCCAUGGGUGCCAUACAUAGUUGCAUGAAGAUUGACGACGAGUGACCAUGGAACACCGUAGGGUUUGUAAUAUGGACUACUCUUUUGAUAGAAUUGUGGAUCAGUGAUCCCAAACGAUGUUCCCUUUUUUGUGUGUGAAUUUGUGGAUGCGUGCAUGAGAUAGGAUUUUCUCUCCUUUUUUUGGUUUAUUCAUCCAUAUUGCCCUAUUGAUCUCUUUUAGUCCAUUUAUAUUGGAUGUAAUAACAUCUUAUAUUAUGGGAUGGAGGGAUAUAAGCCACCCGAGCUUUCACACUACAAUCCCAACAAGCAGGGUGGCAGGAAGGAAAAUGAAUGAUUACAUGGCAUGCAACAGGGGGUGUAUCAGUGUAUAUAGUUCUGCCCAGACAACCUUCUCGACACACCAUUAAAGCAUCGAUGACCUAUUUCUAGAUGAAGGUGCCGAACAUGCCAUAGAGGAUUGACUGCCUUGUCCCGACACAGCUCCCCGACAAGAAUUCUUGAUGCCUCCCAAGCCUACAUAACUCAUGACCAGCGACAUAUGUGUAAUUCAUUUUUUUUGUAUGUGAAAGUGUAACUAUAUAUAUCUAGCUAUGACAUGUUUGGUUGGGGCACCAUGCGCUAUGGUCUCCACACAAGUAUGUGGUGCGCUAGCUUCAUGGCCAGGCAACUGAUGAGAGAAAAGAGAGAAGGGAAGGUGACAUAUAUAUAUUGAGUCAGAUACGAAUGUGAUCCUCAUCAUGAGAAAAGGAAAGAAAAUAUUCUCAACAAUUAUAGCUCUCAUUAUUUUUGGCACACCUACACACUGUGCAACUGACCUCAGAGCAUGUGAAAAGGGGAGAGAGACUAGAUCUCCAAAUGGGGGCAAUGUGUUCUGCCACGUGGUUUAUUUCUAUUGGCGAGGCUUCCCCGAGUUUGGCAACCAAAAACUCGGUGAACAUUUGUGCCACUUGGCACUUCCAUUAAUGGCAUGUUCAUUCUGAUAGUGAGGUUCGCUGAGUUUCUUGUGAUUGAAACUCGGCAAACAUUGUUAUUAUGUGCACUGAGUUCUCGAUAGAAUGCAGUCGGCAGUAUUAAUGAUUGCCGGGCACCGUCCAGCCGAGUGCAUUGCGCCGAGUUUCGCACUCGGUGAAUAUUUCAUCGAGUUUAAUAAGUGUUGUACCGAGUUUCUUUGGAACUCGGCAAAAACGGUGAUUCUAUUAGUGCAUAUGCAUAUGCUUUCCAUACUAAUUUUGAAUCAUAACCAGUAAAAAAUUCUGGACUAGAAUUCCUCCCAAGCCUUCAUCACUCAUGACCGAUAGCACAUGUGUCAUCCAUUUUAGUUCUCCGUGUAGAAGGGCAACUAUAUAUAUCUAGGACAUAUAUAGUUAGCCAGCACACCAUAAGCUUAGAUGUCCACAUGGGUAUGUUGUCUGCUAGCUUCGUAGGCGAUGAGAGAAUUGGUAGAAGUGAAGGUGAUGUGUAUUGAGUCAGAUACGAAUGUGAUCUUGAUCGUGAUAAUGACUCUUCAUUAUUUGGGCACACCUACACACAACGUGAGUAAUCUUAGUGCACAUUGGGGGGGGGGGGAGUGGCCUGUUAGUGUUUGUAUGUCGUUGCAAGAGGACUGAGAAGUUAUGGUAGAGGGUACGGUUGAGUUUGUACCGAAUGAUUGUACAAACCCACAAAUUUAGUGACUGAAACAGAUUAAUUACUAUAUGUCGUCAUUCAUGGUUAUACAGUGACUUCAAAGUCAACCACAAGAAAAACAAUUUUAUUCAUUAGUUAACAUUGCCGAUCAGAUUCAAUCUUAUGGUGUUUGUAUAUUCAUGCAUCAAAACAACUAUUUCCGUUGCAUUUCAUCAUACUUAGCAACCCCUUCGGAUGUCCUCUACCAGCUCGGUUCUUGACGAGCCGCCUGCCUCAAGUCCAAACCAAGCUAGGUUUAGCUUCAUAUCUAGGGUUCCAAGGAGAUAAAUGAGAGAAGGAAAUGUCAUGUACAUUGAGCCAUACAUGUGUGUAUGCUAGGAAAAAAAGUGAACUCUCAUGAUUUUGGGCACAACUACACAUGUGUGAGUAAUCUUAGAGCAUGUGAGGAGGCGAGAGAUGAUAGUAGUGAUGGUAUUUCCUCGAAAGAGGACAAAAAACUUAUGGUAGUCGGUAUUGUUUAGUUUGUAUCAAAAAAAUGGUGCAAACCCACAAAUUUGCUGAAUGGGAAAUCUACGCUACCCUACCCAGCUAGUUUUGCGAAACGCCAUUAGGCUAGCCAACUAUUGUGUUGGGGAGCCAAGUCGCUAGAUGGUUACUUGCAAAGACUAACCGAUCCUUGUUGGCUUGUUUCCAAUCAUGAUUCCCCAUCACUUUGUUAGUGCCACAUAUCAUCUAUAAUCAAUGCAUCUUGCAAUUCUCCAUGUCUCCCAAUCCUACAUACUAUCCAUGAUUUGCGGCGAUAACUGAACCUCAUUGGCUUGUUUCCAAUCAUGAUUCCCAACACUUUGUUAGUGCCACAUGUCAUCUAUAAUCAAUGCAUCUUGCAAUUCUCGAUGUCUCCCAAUCCUACACACUAUCCAUAGUUUGUGCCAUAGACUUAACUUAUGUGGAUGCUAAUACAUUCACAUGUCUACAAUUCUAUGACACACUUGGUGGAUCCUAGAUCUCCUCACAGAUAUAAUACGUGCUAGCUUUUGAGGGUCCAAAAGAGAUGGUAGAGAAAGCUUGUGAUAGAUAACGAGCAUGGUUGAAGUGUAGUCUUGAUGUGUUGCAUCAGAGACCUUAUAUGAAAUUGUGGGAGUGAGCGGCUUAUUGAUCUUUACCUCUCACCAUUUUCUCUCUCUUUGGUGCACCUACCACUUUGCAUGUAAUAUUGGAGCCAUUGAGCAGGGAAUGAAUGCAAUGGGUUUGUUUUAAGUCAUUCUCAUCCCGACGCAUGGUACGAGAAAUUUGAGGCAGGUGCUAAGGAUUAGUGGCACAUCAUGCAUGACCAUCACAUGACAAGCUACAUGAUACUCCAUCUGUUUCAAAAUAUAAGACAUCCUAUUUUAAGAAUCAAAACAUUAUUAAAUGUUCUUCCAUGUCUUUUUGGUGCAUACUGUAGAUUAUAUUGAAUAACCCUUUAAUUACUCAUUGUUCGUUAUGAUAAUCCAGUUAGGGCCCUUGUUAUGCUUUCGCUAUCAUCCUAAGCAUGGUAAGCCAUGUCAUUCUGUGACUGCCAAUCAAUAUGGAAUAGAUUCACGAAACUGAAGUUUCGAUCGAGUACAAUAGAGGCAUAUUGGAAGCUAAGUUUGGCAUGUCAUGGGGGCGAACAUCAAUCCUUGUAUACAGUUGCAUGAUUGAUGAAGAGUGGAUUACAAUUUUUACUCCAUUUAACAAAUAUUCAUCCGGAUUACCCCAUUUUAUGAGUAUUCUGUCAGUUAUAUUAUCCCAUUCAUCGAUAUAUCAUGUAGUUGGGUCUUUAUCGCUAGGUGCAUGUGGCAUAUCAUGUUGUACUUUUCCUUCUCGCCCCCCCCCACUUCGCACCCAACAUGUAGACUGGCUUAUUAUCUAGAGACGGGUUUUUUCCUUUCGCACAAUCGUGGGUCAACGUACAUACCUCCGUCUUCAUGUCACGCAACUAAUUGUUCAUUGCUUCCAUUUCAUUCUUCUUUACCAAAUUUUCUAUCAGGUGUUGCAUCAUACUAGACAUGGCUCCAUCGAUGCUUUUCCAGGCAAAAGAACUGCCAACAAAACUAUCAGCAACUAUUUUUUAUAAAAGGGGUAAAAGUUGGUGAUUUUUUUGUUAAAUGGGGCAACCCAGAUGAAAAGCUAUUAAAUGAGGUAAUUAGCGUAAAAAAUAUCAAAGUAGGGUGUAAAAAACAGAAUUCAGUCUUCAUAAAAAUAACACAAAUUCAACUUUAAAAUGAGAAAGAAUUCUAUAAAUUUUGACCACUGUCCACUUUGUUAGAUGUAGUGUAACUUUACAAAUCCUAAUGUCAAAAAUAUGCAUCCUUGUGCUACAUAUAAAGAAGAAGAAUAAGACAAAUCAUGUAGUACAUUUUUAAGCGCAGUUUAAGAUCAAUGUGAUGUGAUCACUGCUUUGAUCUAGAUUUACUAAUAGUUAUGUCAUAUCUGUUUGCAAAAAACACUAGACAUGUUAAAAUCCUAAAAGGAUGCAUCUAGAACUCUGAUUUUCUUUUUGUUUGAUCACUACAUUUCAUAUUGGAAGUCCUGUUCACCGAUUUCUAAUUUGAUGUUGGUAAAAGGAAUACGAAUAAUUCAGAAUCAAAUGAUAAAAAAUGAUGUAACUACAUCCAUCACCUACAUGCUCACCGGUUAGAGAAAGUAAGGAAUUUCAUCUCCAAAUACUUUUUCUCUCUUGGAUAAUGUUCUCCUUGACCUUUGACUUCAUAGGGCCCUAAACAGUUUUUGGAGGUUGAGACGAAAAAUCUCAUUCUAGGCCCCUACUCGAGCCUCCAUUAUAACUAGGUAGAAAAAUAAUAAGAGCCCCUAUAUAAGGGGCUCUCCCCUUCUCCUUCAUUGGAGGGGAUUCAUUACAGCUCGACUCCCUCGGCACCGCCGACCUCUCCUAAACCUUUGUGAUUCCACUUACCUCUUCGACCCUUCCUAAACCUUUGCGAGAUCUACCUCCCCGACCCUCCUUACCUCACCACCAAUGCCGACCGCUCACAAAGUCUUAAACCACUACGUCCUGCUCCAAUUCUUUGCCCGCUAAUACUUGAGACGGUAGUGUCGCUUUUUCAACCGGCCAUGGACAAGCUCCUUUGUGCCUACAUACUUUCUCUAUAUGAAACCGAGAGCGGGUCGAUAGACCAUGCCAAUGAUAAAUGAGGCUCAUGUAUAAGUGAGUACCCAAACGAGAAAUAGAGCAUAUGACAAAUAGAGGCCAUUGCUGAAGUUAGAGUUAGUGUUUAGGGCACAUAAAGUUAGGGAUACUCACAAUGUUGGAGAUCCUCUAAAGGCUGGUUAGAAUUAGUGGAUCUGGGAUAUGCUCUUCUUAUUCUACAUAAGGUAAUAAAAUAUAAUAUCCACACAAAGGUUAAUUACCUCCUUCCUUGUAAGAAAGGGGAUUUUAGGCACUAAUCCUUGGAGGAGGAUGCACAAUGGGCAUGUGUCACAGGGGGGAGUGUUUCAAGUGUCUUGAGCCAGACCACAAUAUCGCUGAGUGCAAGAAUCGGGCAAGGUACAUGAUCUGUGGAGAGGUCAGGCACAAAGCUCGGUGGUGUGGCGUGCGUGACCUGAAGAGCAGUCCAGGGGGAGGUGCGGAGCCGAAGAAUGUCCUACCACCGCCCCCAGGCCCCCACCCAGCUUUGCAUUUGUACUCCAAUGGGGGCGCCGGUGGCAGAUCCGAAGGCUCGGAGGGGCUGGUCAUUGCCUCGGCACGUCGGAUGGCGGCCAUGGCGGAGGUGGAGAGGAAGUUGUCAAUGUUGGGGAACGUAGUAAUUUCAAAAAAAUUCCUAUGCACAUGGAAGAUCAUAGUGAUGCAUAGCAACGAGAGGGGAGAGUGUCGUCCACGUACCCUCGUAGACCGUAAGCAGAAGCGUUUUAUCAACGCGGUUGAUGUAGUCGUACGCCUUCACGAUCCGACUGAUCCAAGUACCGAAUGCACGGCACCUCCGAGUUCAGCACACGUUCCGCUCGAUGGCGUCCCAUGAACUCACGAUCCAGCAGAGUGUUGAGGGAGAGUUUCAUCGGCAGGACGGCGUGAUAACGGUGAUGAUGAUGCUACCGACGCAGGGCUUCGCCUAAGCACCACUAUGAUAUGACUGAGGUGGAUUAUGGUGGAGGGGGCACCACACACGGCUUGGAACAAUCAACUUGUGUGUCUUAGGGUGCCCCCUGCCCCCGUAUAUAAAGGAGCAAGGGGGGAGGCCGGCCGGCCUUGGUGCGCCCCAAGGAGAGGAGGAAUCCUCCUCCUAGUAGGAGUAGGAUUCAUCCUUUCCUAGUCCUACGAGGAAGGGGGAAGGGGAAGGAAAGAGAGGGAGAGGGAAAGAGGGGCCGCGCCCCCCUCCCCUAGUCCAAUUCGGACUCCCCAUGGGAGGGGGCGCGCCACCUUCUGGGCUGCUGCCCUCUCUCUCCCCUAAGGCCCGCUAAGGCCCAAUGCUUCCCCGGGGGGUUCCGGUAACCCCUCCAACACUUCGGUUUUCUGCGAAACCACCCGGAACACUUCCGGUGUCCAAAUAUAAUCGUCCAAUAUAUCAAUAUUUAUGUCUCGACCAUUUCGAGACUCCUCGUCAUGUCCAUGAUCACAUCCGGAACUCCGAACUACCUUCGGUACAUCAAAACACAUAAACUCAUAAUACCGAUCGUCACCGAACGUUAAGCGUGCGGACCCUACGGGUUCGAGAACUAUGUAGACAUGACCGAGACACGUUUCUGGUCAAUAACCAAUAGCAGAACCUGGAUGCUCAUAUUGGCUCCCAUAUAUUCUACGAACAUCUUUAUCGGUCAAAUCACAUAACAACAUACGUUGUUCCCUUUGUCAUCGGUAUGUUACUUGCCCGAGAUUCGAUCGUUGGUAUCUCAAUAUCUAGUUCAAUCUCGUUACCGACAAGUCUCUUUACUCGUUCUGUAGUGCACCAUCUCGUGACUAACUCAUUAGUCACAUUGCUUGCAAGGCUUAUAGUGACGUGCAUUACCGAGAGGGCCCAGAGAUACCUCUCCGAUAAUCGGAGUGACAAAUCCUAAUCUCGAUCUAUGCCAACUCAACAAACACCAUCGGAGACACCUAUAGAGCACCUUUAUAAUCACCCAGUUAUGUUGUAACGUUUGGUAGCACACAAAGUGUUCCUCCGGUAUUCGGGAGUUGCAUAAUCUUAUAGUCAUAGGAACAUGUAUGAGUCAUGAAGAAAGCAAUAGCAACAUACUAAACGAUCAAAUGCUAAGCUAACAGAAUGGGUCAAGUCAAUCACAUCAUUCUCUAAUGAUGUGAUCCCAUUAAUCAAAUGACAACUCAUGUCUAUGGCUAGGAAACUUAACCAUCUUUGAUUCAAUGUGCUAGUCAAGUAGAGGCAUACUAGUGACAUUAUGUUUGUCUAUGUAUUCACACAUGUAUUAUGUUUCCGGUUAAUACAAUUCUAGCAUGAAUAAUAAAAAUUUAUCAUGAAAUAAGGAAAUAAAUAAUAACUUUAUUAUUGCCUCUAGGGCAUAUUUCCUUCAGAGGCAUGGUUUGCAAGUACCAAGUGAUUCCAAAAGUCCAUCAGAAUGGAGUUUCUUCAUGCGCUUUACACCAAUAUGACCCAAAUGGCAGUGCCACAAAUAAGUUGUACUAUCAUUAUCAACUUUGCAUCUUUUGGCUUCAAUAUUAUGAAUAUGUGUAUCACUACUAUCGAGAUUUAAUAAAAAUAGACCACUCUUCAAGGGUGCAUGACCAUAAAAGAUAUUACUCAUAUAAAUAGAACAACCAUUAUUCUCAGAUUUAAAUGAGUAACCAUCUCGCAUCAAACAAGAUCCAGAUAUAAUGUUCAUGCUCAACACUGGCACCAAAUAACAAUUAUUCAAGUCUAAAACUAAUCCCGAAGGUAGAUGUAGAGGUAGUGUUCCGACGGCGAUCACAUCGACUUUGGAACCAUUUCCCACGCGCAUCGUCACCUCGUCCUUAGCCAAUCUUCGCUUAAUCCGUAGCCCCUGUUUCGAGUUGAAAAUAUUAGCAACAGAACCAGUAUCAAAUACCCAGGUGCUACUGCGAGCAUUAGUAAGGUACACAUCAAUAACAUGUAUAUCACAUAUACCUUUGUUCACCUUGCCAUCCUUCUUAUCCGCCAAAUACUUGGGGCAGUUCCGCUUCCAGUGACCAGUCCCUUUGUAGUAGAAGCACUCAGUCUUAGGCUUAGGUCUAGACUUGGGCUUCUUCACUUGAGCAGCAACUUGCUUGCCGUUCUUCUUGAAGUGCCCCUUCUUCCCUUUACCUUUUUUCUUGAAACUGGUGGUCUUGUUGACCAUCAACACUUGAUGCUCCUUCUUGAUUUCUACCUCCACAGCCUUUAGCAUCCCAAAGAGCUCGGGAAUUGUCUUAUCCAUCCCUUGCAUGUUAUAGUUCAUCACGAAGCUCUUGUAGCUUGGUGGCAGUGAUUGAAGAGUUCUGUCAAUGACACUAUCAUCAGGAAGAUUAACUCCAAGUUGAAUCAAGUGAUUGUUAUACCCAGACAUUUUGAGUAUAUGUUUACUGACAGAACUAUUCUCCUCCAUCUUGCAGCUGUAGAACUUAUUGGAGACUUCAUAUCUCUCAAUACGGGCAUUAGCUUGAAAUAUUAACUUCAACUCCUGGAACAUCUCAUAUGCUCCAUGACGUUCAAAACAUCGUUGAUGUCCCGGUUCUAAGCCGUAAAGCAUGGCACACUGAACUAUCGAGUAGUCAUCAGCUUUGCUCUGCCAAACAUUCUUAACAUCGUCAGUUGCAUCUGUAGCAGGCCUGGCACCCAGCGGUGCUUACAUGACGUAAUUCUUCUGUGCAGCAAUGAGGAUAAUCCUCAAGUUACAGAUCCAGUCCGUGUAAUUGCUACCAUCAUAUUUCAACUUAGCUUUCUCAAGGAACACAUUAAAAUUCAACGGACCAACAGCACGGGCCAUCUAUCUACAACAACAUAGACAUGCAAAAUACUAUCAGGUACUAAGUUCAUGAUAAAUUAAAGUUCAAUUAAUCAAAUUACUUAAGAACUCCCACUUAAAUAGACAUCCCUCUAAUCAUCUAAGUGAUCACGUGGUCUAUAUCAACUAAACCAUGUCCGAUCAUCAUGUGAGAUGGAGUAGUUUUCAAUGGUAAACAUCACUAUGUUGAUCAUAUCUACUAUAUGAUUCACGCUCGACUUUUCGGUCUCAGUGUUCCGAGGCCAUAUCUGCAUAUCUGCAAAGCAUGUCGGUAGAACCAGUCCCGCGUAAGCGUACGCGUAAUGUCGGUCCAGGCCGCUUCAUCCAACAAUACCGCCGAAUCAAAGUAUGGCAUGCUGGUAAGCAGUAUGACUAGUAUCGCCCACAACUCACUUGUGUUCUACUCGUGCAUAUAACAUCUACAUUAAGCCCGGCUCGGAUGCCACUGUUGAGGAACGUAGUAAUUUCAAAAAAAUUCCUACGCACACGCAAGAUCAUGGUGAUGCAUAGCAACGAGAGGGGAGAGUGUCGUCUGAUGGGGUCAUGUACCUAGGGUAGGGCCACAGACCUGAUCUAAGUUCCCUGCCCAAGGACACCCUUAGAAGAGGUCACCUUCCAGUCGACCAACGAGAGACACACUCGACUACCUUGAAGGACUCGACCACGAAGACUCACUCGACCACCAGAAGGUCAAGAGGCACUCUGCAGUGCAACGGCCUGUAAUUAAAGUAGACUUUAUGAUAGUAAAGACACUUUAUGUGGGGCGUUACCAGUAACGCCCCGGACUUAACUCACCUUAAACCCUCUCCUACGUGCGCUGGCUGGGGUCCUGGCGCACUCUAUAUAAGCCACCCCCCUCCACAGGUAGAGGGGUUCGGCACCUUGUAACUCAUAUACACAUAAUCCACUCGACCGCCUCUGGGCUCCGAGACGUAGGGCUUUUACUUCUUCCGAGAAGGGCCUGAACUCGUACAUCCCUUGUGUUUACAACCUCUCCAUAGCUAGGACCUUGCCUCUCCAUACCUACCCCCUACUCUACUGUCAGGCUUAGAACCACGACAGUUGGAGCCCACCGUGGGGCAGGUGUUUUAGCAAUUUUGUGGAGAAGUUGCGAUUCUUCCGAGUACUUUCAUCAUGGUGGCUGCUGGAGUUUUGGUCGAGGGUCGAGAGAUCCGUCUCGGCGCUCUCAUCUUCAUCGCCGACGACUCCGCCUGGCUCCAGGAGGCUCCACUCGACGUUGAUGCGCUCCCCGUCCGCGGUGCGACACAUUUUCGCGCAUGUGUCCGCGGCGUUUUGCUGCGGCAACCGUCGACCCCAUAUCAGUCGACAUCCCCAUCGACCACCCUCCCGGUCUCCCGUCAGCGCAAGCGCUCGGGCCGGUCGAGGAUUCAGCGGUGGGUGAGGCACGCGGUGGCUCGCCAGACGGCCACCACCCAAGUUGCGGCAAUCGAGCCCGACGAAUCUCUCUACGGCCUGGUCGAUCUGUCGACUGGUUCCCUAGAGACCGCAUCCGAGUGCGAUAGCAGUGAUCCAGCGGCAGAAAUUCUGAUGGUCGACGGGCCCCGCAGUCCCCCUGGCUUCGCCCGUGAUGGUGGAGCAAGAGACGGAGGCGACCCCGCACGAGACCACGAAGAGUACCAGCCCGAGUCACUCGACUCUCUGCAAAGAGAGGAACUUCGCCGCAGGAACGUGGAUGCGCUGCGUACUCCCAUCGCAGGAGAAACCCCCGAGGCUCGCGCCUUGGAGGAGGCACGUUUGGCCAAUUUGGCCGAACGCACUCGACUGGAGAAUCUUCAGCGAGCACUCGACGAGCGCGCGCGGCAACGAGUUCCCGACACCAGCCGACGUCAACUCUUCCCGCCGACUCAGGUAUAUCGAACCCCAAUCCAGAAUUUAGCAGCUGCGACCCGUAUAGCAGAGUCCAUCCAGCCUUCUCAGUCAGAAGCUGGCAGAGGCUUGAUGCAGAUUAGGGAUCUGCUCCGGGCAGCAGGAGAUCAGAAUUCGGCCGUGUCGCAGUCGCGCAACAGAAUUCACAGUCGAUCCGUCGCUGCGAAUACGGUUCAGUCGGCUCACAGUCCCAGAUCGCCUCCGCGGCGUGAAGGGUGCGAGAAUCGGCGAGACCAAUAUGGUGACCAACUCGACCGAGAUGAUAGGCGUCGAGUGCCCAAUUCCCCUCCGAGGGGUGGGUCUUACGCUCCUCGGCAGCAAGAUGACAGGCGUCAGUUCAGUACGGGGCGAAGAGUUCCAGUCGACCCCAGAGAACCAGGCUUCGACGCGCGAUCCAUUAUCGUGCAAGGUUUGGUCGACCGGAACAGAGCCCAUCGAGGCGGACUCGACAGAGAUGCGCCCACAAGCAGUCGAGUGCAUGUUUCUGGUCCUGAAUGUUUCAGCAGAGCUAUCAGAGCCGCAGUUAUCCCUCCCAAUUUCAGGUUGGCAACAGGAGUCAGCAAGUUCACUGGUGAGUCUAAGCCUGAAACUUGGCUUGAGGACUACCGAGUGGCGGUUCAGAUUGGUGGUGGGAAUGACGAGGUGGCCAUGAAGCAUUUGCCCCUCAUGCUGGAAGGUUCUGCCAGGGCAUGGUUGACUCAAUUACCUCCUAGCAGCAUUUACACUUGGGAAGAUCUGUCCCGAGUGUUCAUCAGAGCGUUUGAAGAAACUUGCAAGCGACCGGCUGGACUGACGGAGUUGCAAGUCUGCGUGCAGAAGACCAAUGAGACUCUCAGAGAGUAUAUUCAGAGAUGGAUCACUUUGCACCAUACUGUGGAGAAUGUGUCUGAUCAUCAGGCAGUCUGCGCCUUUAAAGAUGGCGUCAAGAACAGAGAAUUAAGUUUGAAAUUUGGUCGAACCGGUGACAUGACCUUGAGUCGGAUGAUGGAGAUUGCUACCAAGUACGCCAACGGCGAAGAAGAAGACCGACUCCGAAGCGGCAAGCACAAGCCGAGCCAGUCGGAAAAGGGAAACACCAGUCGGAAACAGAAGCGGAAGGCUGAACCGGCAGCUCCUGGAGAGGCUCUGGCCGUGACUCAAGGAAAGUUUAAAGGGAAACCAAAAGGAUCCUGGAACCCUAAGAAGGUGAAGGAUAAAGAAGGGAACGACGUGAUGGAUAUGCCGUGUCACAUCCACACGAAGAAAGACGAAGAGGGGAAUAUCAUCUACCCGAAGCAUACCACUCGCCAAUGUCGACUCCUGAUCCAGCAGUUUCAGGGAAAACAGUCUAAGGACAAGGAGAAGGAGUCGGACAAGGCCGAAGACAAGGAGGACAGUGAGGAAGGAUAUCCGCAUAUCAACUCCACUCUGAUGAUCUUUGCAGAUGUGGAAAGCAAGAGUCGAUUGAAAGUCAUUAACCGAGAGGUGAACAUGGUUGCCCCAGCAAAAGCAAAUUAUCUGAAAUGGUCCCAAAUACCCAUCACAUUCGACCAAUCUGAUCACCCGACUCAUAUUGCCACCCCUGGGAGGCAAGCUUUGGUGGUCGAUCCAGUUGUUGAAGGCACUCGACUGACAAAAGUGCUUAUGGACGGUGGUAGUGGGUUGAAUUUGCUGUAUGCAGACACACUGAAAGGAAUGGGCAUUCCGAUGUCCCGACUGAGCACCAGUAACAUGAGCUUUCAUGGAGUUAUACCAGGGAAGAAAGCCGAGUCACUCGGCCAAAUAGCUCUGGACGUGGUGUUUGGUGAUUCGAAACAUUUUCGCAAAGAAAAGUUGACGUUUGAGGUCGUGGAUUUUCAGAGUGCAUAUCAUGCCAUUUUGGGGAGACCAACUUACGCACGGUUCAUGGCUCGACCAUGUUACGUGUACCUCAAAUUGAAGAUGCCCGGCCCCAAAGGAGUGAUCACUGUCACCGGUGAUCGGAAAAAGGCAGAAGAGUGCUUUCAGAAGGGCUCAAAGAUUGCCGAUUCCCAGGUGACAGCGGUCGAAUUCGAAGAAUACAAGCAAAAUGCAGAUCCGAGUGAUUUGCUGCGAUCCAAGAAACCCGCCACAGAGUCUGCAUUUCAGUCGUCCGGUGAGACGAAGCCUGUUCACAUUCACCCGACCGACCCCAAUGCAGCUCCGACCCACAUCUCCACAACACUCGACCCGAAAUAGGAAGAAGCGCUCAUCCAGUUCCUCCGUGAGAACUGGGACAUUUUUGCAUCGAAGCCCGCUGACAUGCCAGGUGUUCCCAGGGGACUGGCUGAGCAUCGCCUAAGAGUCGACUCAUCUGCAAAACCAGUCAAAGAGCAUCUUCGGCGGUCCGCCGUCCAGAAGAGAAAAGCCAUUGGUGAGGAAGUGGCUCGACUGUUGGCGGCAGGAUUUAUCCGAGAGAUAUACCACUCCGAGUAGCUUGCUAAUGUCGUCAUGGUUCCUAAGAAGGACAAAUCACUCCGAAUGUGCAUUGAUUUCAAGCACAUCAACUGGGCCUGCCCGAAAGAUCAUUUUCCUCUCCCUCGCAUAGAUCAAAUUGUUGACUCGACUGCGAGAUGCGAGAGACUGUCUUUUCUAGACGCCUACUUCGGGUACCACCAGAUCCGUCUGUACGGACCCGACGAGAUAAAAACAGCUUUCAUCACUCCAUUCGGGUGCUUCUGCUAUAUCACCAUGCCAUUCGGCCUCAAGAAUGCCGGAGCCACAUUUAUGCGAAUGAUUCAGAAGUGUCUACUCACUCAAAUCAGUCGGAAUGUGGAAGCAUAUAUGGAUGAUAUCGUUGUCAAGUCACGAAAAGGUUCCGACCUGCUCGCUGAUCUCGCCGAAACAUUUGCCAACCUCAGAAGGUAUGAUAUCAAGCUCAAUCCAUCAAAGUGCACAUUUGGAGUUCCUGGUGGCAAGUUACUCGGUUUUCUCGUUUCCGAACGAGGAAUCGACGCUAAUCCAGAGAAGAUCGGCACUAUUCUCCGAAUGAAACGCCCUGUGCGAGUGCACGAUGUCCAGAAGCUUACUGGAUGCUUGGCCGCAUUAAGUCGAUUCAUCUCACGACUCGGUGAAAAGGCAUUGCCUCUUUACCGACUGAUGAAGAAGGCAGACAAGUUCGAGUGGACUCCAGAAGCUGAUGCAGCGUUUGCCGAGCUAAAAGCUCUGCUCUCCACCCAGCCGGUGCUUGCUGCUCCAAUCAGCAAAGAGCCUCUGUUGCUCUAUAUCGCAACCACAGGACAAGUCGUCAGUACUGUGCUAACGGUCGAGCGGGAAGAAGAAGGAAAAGCUCUCAAAGUUCAGCGCCCAGUGUAUUAUUUGUCUGAAGUCUUGACUCCAUCCAAGCAGAGAUAUCCUCAUUAUCAGAAGCUUGUGUAUGGAAUAUACAUGACCACAAAGAAGGUUGCUCAUUAUUUCUCUGAUCAUUCCAUCACAGUCGUCAGCGACGCUCCACUAUCAGAGAUUUUGCACAACAGAGAUGCAACUGGUCAAGUGGCUAAAUGGGCGAUUGAACUUCUUCCCCUUGAUAUCAAGUUUGAGGCAAAGAAAGCCAUUAAGUCCCAGGCAAUAGCAGAUUUCCUCGCCGAGUGGAUUGAACAGCAGCAGUCGACUGAAGUUCACUCGGAGCAUUGGACCAUGUUCUUUGAUGGCUCUAAGAUGUUGAAUGGUUCCGGUGCUGGGGUCGUCCUGGUUUCCCCCAAAGGAGAUAAGCUCAGAUAUGUGCUCCAGAUUCACUUUGAUUCCUCCAACAAUGAGGCAGAAUAUGAGGCCCUCUUAUAUGGGUUGCACAUGGCCAUUUCACUCGGCGUCCGUCGCCUGAUGGUCUAUGGCGACUCGGAUUUAGUGGUCAACCAAGUGAUGAAGGAGUGGGACGUGAGAAGCCCAUCCAUGACUGGAUACUGCAGUGCAGUGAGGAAGCUGGAAAAGAAGUUCGAGGGGUUGGAGCUCCAUCAUAUACCCCGACUGAAAAAUCAAGCAGCUGAUGACCUAGCAAAGAUAGGAUCCAAGAGAGAAGCCAUUCCGAGUGGUGUGUUCUUGGAGCAUAUACACACUCCGUCAGUCAAAGAAGAUCCUUUCACCGAAGAAGCUCCACAGCCCAAGAGUGCCACAGAUCCGACUGAGGUUGAAGUCCCAGCGGUGGUCGACUUGAUCAUGGAGGUCUUGGUGGUCAUUCCCGACUGGACAGUUCCAUAUAUCGCGUAUAUCCUGAGAAAAGAGCUUCCGGAGGAUGAGGAAGAGGCUCGACAGAUCAUCCGUCGAUCUAAGGCCUUUACCGUAAUCAAAGGACAAUUAUACAGAGAAAGCGCGACUGGAGUUGGUCAGAAGUGCAUAACACCAGAAGAAGGUCGACUCAUCCUCAAUGAUAUCCACUCGGGGACCUGUGGUCAUCAUGCGUCCUCUCGGACCAUCGUGGCCAAAGCAUACCGAGCCGGAUUUUACUGGCCAAAGGCGAAUGAGAUGGCAAAGGAGAUAGUGGAUAAGUGCGAGGGAUGUCAGUUUUACUUGAAUAUGUCACACAAGCCUGCAUCAGCCCUGAAGACCAUUCCACUCCUCUGGCCUUUCGCAGGAUGGGGGUUGGACAUGGUCGGUCCUUUGAGAACAGGGCGAAGUGGCUUCACGCAUGUACUGGUGGCAGUCGACAAGUUCACCAAGUGGAUUGAGGCUAAACCAAUCAAGAACCUUGACUCCGGUACUGCUGUUAGCUUCAUCAGGGAACUAGUAUUCAGAUAUGGAGUCCCGCACAACAUCAUUACGGAUAAUGGGUCGAACUUUGACUCGGAGGAAUUCAGAGAUUUCUGUAACUCUCAAGGCACACGGAUCGACUACGCUUCAGUCGCCCAUCCGCAGUCGAAUGGACAAGCAGAGCGAGCCAAUGGCCUGAUUCUCAAGGGAUUGAAACCCUGACUGAUGCGUGAUCUCAAGCAUGCAGCUGGAGCUUGGGUCGACGAACUUCCCUCAGUGCUUUGGGGACUACGGACCACACCUAAUCGGUCGACCGAAAGAACUCCAUUCUUCUUGGUCUACGGAGCUGAAGCGGUCUUGCCGAGUGAUCUUCUCCACAAUGCUCCUCGAGUUGAAAUCUACAACGAAGCAGAAGCUGAACAAGCGCGGCAGGACGCAGUCGACCUUUUAGAGGAAGAAAGGGAGAUGGCUCUGAUCCAGUCGACCAUCUACCAACAAGAUUUGCAUCGUUUCCACGCCAGAAAUGUGAGAGGUCGAGCCUUCCAGGAAGGAGAUUUGGUUCUCCGAGUGGAUCAGCACAAACCACACAAGCUUGCUCCUUCUUGGGAAGGUCCCUUCAUCGUCACCAAGGUUCUCCACAACGGGGCGUACCGUCUUUACAACGUCGAGCAUAAUAUCGACGAGCCCCGAGCUUGGACGCGGAACUACUCCGCCCAUUUUACACUUAAGGUUUAUCACUCGGAUGAGUUGCAAUAAAGUACUUCUGUAGUUCAUGGACCUCAAAAUAAUAGUGUCAUAGUUCUUCCAUAAUUUUUGUCACUUUUUAUUUUGUCCAAUAAAAUUCCCCCUCAGUGGGUGACUUAGCCGCGAAUCCGUUCCGCCUAAGUUUGUAAAAAAUCCUACCGAGUGAAGAGCAAACCUCUCACUCGGAGGCUUAGCUGCAGUCCAAGUACUCGCCUAAGUUAUAAAAAUCCUGCCGAGUGGUAAGCCAGACUUCCACUCGGGAGCUUAGCUGCAGCCCAGUGCUCGCCUAAGUAAUCAAAAAUCCUACCGAGUGAAGAGCAAACCUCUCACUCGGAGGCUUAGCUGCAGUCCAAGUACUCGCCUANNNNNNNNNNNNNNNNNNNNNNNNNNNNNNNNNNNNNNNNNNNNNNNNNNNNNNNNNNNNNNNNNNNNNNNNNNNNNNNNNNNNNNNNNNNNNNNNNNNNNNNNNNNNNNNNNNNNNNNNNNNNNNNNNNNNNNNNNNNNNNNNNNNNNNNNNNNNNNNNNNNNNNNNNNNNNNNNNNNNNNNNNNNNNNNNNNNNNNNNNNNNNNNNNNNNNNNNNNNNNNNNNNNNNNNNNNNNNNNNNNNNNNNNNNNNNNNNNNNNNNNNNNNNNNNNNNNNNNNNNNNNNNNNNNNNNNNNNNNNNNNNNNNNNNNNNNNNNNNNNNNNNNNNNNNNNNNNNNNNNNNNNNNNNNNNNNNNNNNNNNNNNNNNNNNNNNNNNNNNNNNNNNNNNNNNNNNNNNNNNNNNNNNNNNNNNNNNNNNNNNNNNNNNNNNNNNNNNNNNNNNNNNNNNNNNNNNNNNNNNNNNNNNNNNNNNNNNNNNNNNNNNNNNNNNNNNNNNNNNNNNNNNNNNNNNNNNNNNNNNNNNNNNNNNNNNNNNNNNNNNNNNNNNNNNNNNNNNNNNNNNNNNNNNNNNNNNNNNNNNNNNNNNNNNNNNNNNNNNNNNNNNNNNNNNNNNNNNNNNNNNNNNNNNNNNNNNNNNNNNNNNNNNNNNNNNNNNNNNNNNNNNNNNNNNNNNNNNNNNNNNNNNNNNNNNNNNNNNNNNNNNNNNNNNNNNNNNNNNNNNNNNNNNNNNNNNNNNNNNNNNNNNNNNNNNNNNNNNNNNNNNGAGUACUCGCCUAAGUUAUCGAAAAUCCUACCGAGUGAAGAGCAAACCUCUCACUCGGAGGCUUAGCUGCAGCCCAGUGCUAGCCUAAGUUAUCAAAAUCCUUCCGAGUGAAGAGCAAACCUCUCACUCGGGGGCUUAGCUGCAGCCCAGUGCUAGCCUAAGUUAUCAAAAUCCUUCCGAGUGAAGAGCAAACCUCUCACUCGGGGGCUUAGCUACAGCCCAGUGCUCGCCUAAGUUAUCAAACUCCUACCGAGUGAAGAGCAAACCUCUCACUCGGGGGCUUAGCUGCAGUCCAAGUACUCGCCUAAGUUAUAAAAAUCCUACCGAGUGGUAAGCCAGACUUCCACUCGGAGGCUUAGCCGCAGCCCAGUGCUCGCCUAAGUGGACUAAGGAAUAAGUCGAUUGCAAUAAAGGCGCCCUGCUUUGAACCUGCAAAAGACAUUUCGAGCCAAAAGCAAUCAUAUUCAAGCACCAAAUUCAAGUUCGAAUCGAUAUCUAAAGGAACCGAAAGUGCUCAGGCGCUAAGCCCGUUAAGGUUUAUCGGUUACAAUUCCACUCGGCAUACCGAGGCAAAUUUAAAGCGUCGAGCUUAGAAGAAGUUUUUUACCCCUCCUGCGGAGGGCUGGAUGGUGCAACAAACUCAUCAAGAUCAAUUCCGUCUGCGAUCCGAGUGGCAGCCGCAAGGAAAGUUUCCAUAAAGGACCUGAAGUCGUGUUUCUUGGUGUUGGCCACCCGGAGGGCCGCCAGCUUCUCUUCUCGCGCAUCUUUGCAGUGGACUCGGGCCAGACACAGAGCAACAUCUGCACCGCACCGAGCCGAGGACUUCUUCCACUCCUGCACUCGACCAGGGAUCGUGUUCAAGCGAGCCAUCAGCGACUCAAGGUCAUUCUGAAGUGUCUCCCCGGGCCAGAGCGUCGAGUCGAUGCGAGAUGUGGCGACCUUCAGCCUUGCAAGAUAGUCCACGGCAGCUGCAACACGGGACUCCAGUCGGAAAACAUUCAUGGCAACUUCGUCGUUCACCGGAGAAUUGACGGGGUCGAGGUUUGGUUCCAGCCGGCUAGUUUCUUCUUCAAAGUUUUGACAAAAUUCUGCAAGGACGAUCACCGAGUCAAGGUGAUGGUCGAAUGGAAAAACCACGAUUGGAAAUAGUUGCCUAGCAUAGAGGUUUACCUUCAAGCAUAAGAAACAGCUUCUUGGCAAGACCACUCAGGAAGGCCUCCAGAUCAUUUUUCUUCCCAGUCAACUUACUGACUUGGUCGGUCAGGGCAGCUUUAUCAGUUUUCAGUCGACUGACCUCCUUGUUGGCGAUCCCAAGAGUAGCUUUCAGAUUGGUAUUGUCUUGUUCAAGCUUGGUGACUGAAGCUAACUUCUCGUCAGCAAGCUUGAUCUUCUCAGCUAGUUCAAGGUCUUUCUUCUGUUGGGCCUCCCUUACCUUACCUGCAAGUUACAGCAAGAUCAGAUUUUGAAACAAACAAAGGGAAAAGCAGUCGUCAAGGUCUCACCAAACAUACCUUCGGUCUCCUCCUUUGCCUUCGUCAGUUUCUCCUGAACCAGCUUCAAGUUCAGCUUGAGCUGAACGUGCUUGUUUUCCAGCUCAGAGUAGCGAGCCACAAGAUCACAGGAGUUCUGCGAAGAACCAAUCGACUAAAUGUCAAAUAUAAUUCACUUCCGAGUGAAAAAGGAAAAAUCACACGUUUCUAAGACUACAGCCGAAUACAAGCAUUCGACCGUAGUCUCGGGGACUACACCCAGUGGGUGCACUCAGCGUGCCCCCACUAAUCCUAUCGAAGAUAGAGUCGACCAGUCGACCUCAAAAAAAAGAGAGAGAUGUAUUCUUUAAGACUGUAAUCGACUGCAAGCAGUCGACCACAGUCUCGGGGACUACACCCAGUGGGUGCACUCAGCGUGCCCCCACCGGUUUGCAAAAUCCAUUCGACAUAGUCAAAUGACGCAAAGACUGAAAUUAUAAAACGUAAAGCCGACUGCCAGCAGUCGACCUUAGCCUUGGAGACUACACCCAGUGGGCGCACUCAGCGUGCCCCCACUAAUCCUAUUGAAGACAGAGUCGAACAGUCGACCAGUUUGCGAAAUCCAUUCGACAUAGUCGAAUGACGGAAAGCCUGAAAUUAUAAAGCCUAAGGCCGACUGCCAGCAGUCGACCUUAGCCUUGGGGACUACACCCAACGGGUGCACUCAGCGUGCUCCCGCUAACACGGAGUCUGAAUCGACACACCCAGUGGGUGACUACUAUAAAUUCUAGAAAGAAAAGUUUUUGAUAGCAUAUCCUAACAGAACAGGCGGUGGUCGACUGACCUGAACAUUGCUUUGAAGGGCGGAACUGGCGUCGUAAGCUGCCUGGCUCGCAUCCCGGAUGGUCCUUAACUGCUCCAUCAUGAUCCCUGCCUGGCGUAUCGCCUCCUUCGCGGCGCCAGCUUGGUCCUCUGGGACGUGGUGCGUCGUGAAGAGGGAGGGCUGCUGAGCACUCGUCAGUGGAUCUGCGAAGGACACAGUGUGUCGAGUGGUAUUCUCUUCCUCCGCAAUCAGAGUCUCAGGCGCCGUCACAUCCUGGGGCACCCUGCUGGCAGACGCUUUCCUACUCUUUCUGCGCUUCAGCGGUUCCUCAUCCUCAUCAUCAUCAGGGAGAGUGAUAACAACAUUGGGUGGAGCUACAGAGAAGAAUCAGGAUUCGAGAUCAUGAGUCAGUCGACUAAAAACGGCGUUAAGAAUAUAGUACCUGGUUUUGAGGUUGCUGCGUCCUCCAUCUCAUGGUCAUGAGCCCGGGCUGAGGUCUCAGAAGUAGCAGCACUGCAACUCCAAAGAAUCAGUCGACUAACUUCAGCGUCAACCAGAGACAAAGUUCACACAAAAUAAUCAGACUUAACCAGCAUGAUUACCCUGAUAUGGUGGGGAUGGACACCUUCAUCUUCGGCAGGAGCUUGGUCGGCUUCGACGGAGCCGCCCGGGGCUGCUUCGGCGCCUUUUCAGUCGGCGCCGGAGAGGUGGUCCGAGGGCGCUUGGUCGACUGUGCAACGGUCGCAACCCCCUUGCCACGUUCAGUCGAAGGGUCGUGGACAAGCUUCGACCGCCUUUCUGAGCGCGGUGGUACGAUCUCCUCCUCCUCUUCUUCCUCGUCUUCAUCGUCAUCUUCAUCACCGUCAUCGUCGUCAUCAUCAUCAUCAUCCUCAGCAACGUCCGAGUCCCAUUCCUCCUCCUCCUGGCUCUCGCCCCCACUCGCCUCACCCUCCUCAGUCGGAGCCUGUGCUCCAUUGGGCAUCGAGUACAGCUCGGUGAGGGCCUGAUAGACAUCAAGACAAGGAUCAAUCGACCAAUUGGCAGAAUAAACAGAAAUCAAUAUGACAAGAACACAGUGGAGAGCAGAGCAGGCAUACCUUGUUUGGAUCACUGUUGUGGUCGAGUGGAGGAAUCCUUCUGGCUCCGCGUGGGUUAUCCUUGUUUCCGGUAACGGCGGCCAUCCAUAUUUCCAGAGUGACAUCGUCGACUGCUUCAGGAUGGACUCGAGUCUCGUCUUCAGUCCCACAGUACAACCACAUGCAGUGGCUCCGGAACCGAAGAGGCUGGAUACGACGCCUAAGGAAAACCUCCAAGAGAUCCAUGCCCGUCACUCCCUCCCGAACCAACUGUACCACGCGCUCCAUCAACAUCUUCACGUCAGCUUUCUCCUCCGGAAUCAACUUCAGAGAGGAGGGCUUGUUCACUCGGUCCAUGGUAAACUGAGGGAGUCCACUCGACUGCCCCGGCGUCGGCUGAUCCUGGCAAUAGAACCAGGUCGACUGCCAGCCUCUGACUGACUCGGGAAAAGUCAUGGCUGGGAAGGUGCUCUUAUUCCUCACCUGGAUCCCCAGGCCCCCACACAUUUGGACGACUCGGGUUCUUUCGUCGCCUGGGCUCGCCUUCUUCACGGUCUGAGAGCGACACGUGAAUAUAUGCUUGAACAAGCCCCAGUGGGGUCGACAGCCCAGAAAACCCUCACACAUGGACACGAACGCGGCAAGAUAGGCGAUAGAAUUUGGGGUAAAGUGAUGGAGCUGCGCUCCAAAGAAGUUCAAGAAACCACGGAAGAAAAUACUCGGCGGCAAAGAAAAUCCACGAUCAACAUGGGUGGCCAAGAGCACACACUCACCCUCUUCUGGCUGGGGCUGCCACUCCUUCCCCGGAAGCCUCGCAGCUCCAUGGGGGAUCAAGCCCUCGUUGGCCAUGUCGAGGAGAUCUUUCUCCGUGAUGGUCGACUGGAUCCAAUCUCCUUGGACCCAGCCCUUCGGCAGGCGGGAUCUAGACGAAGACCCGCCGCGGCUGGUGGAUCUUCUCUUCGCCUUCUCCGUCGCCGACGCCUUCUUCGCGCGUUCCAGCGCCGCCGUCUUCUCUUUGGUCAUGGUUGCCGGCGAGACGCGCGAGGAGAGGUUGGGCGGAGGCGAGAGCGAGCGCGUCGGGCGGAGACGAAGGGAGCAGAGAAAGAGAAUGCUGAGGCACUGUACAAAAAACCCUCGCCGGGCGCAUUUAUAAGGUCCCUUCUGAGUGGAUGACAGGUGGGCCCGGUCGAUCUAAUCAUAUCCAGGAACAGUUAUGCAGGCGGGAUACGUGGCGAAGAAAGUGGCGCGGGGAUCGAGGCGUCUAUAUCCCGUCCCAUCCGAACGCCGCAGUCCGCUCCGUUUCGCGCGCUUCCCCAAAUUUCGCAUCCCGCGGAAUCCGCGAACGGCAGACCGGUCUGUCAGACGCGGGAUUUCCUGCGAUCCGUCGCUUGGAAAUCGUCAAAGCCCGAAAGAUCACUCGAUGAAAGGAGAGAAUGGAUCGAGUCGACUGAAGACAAGUUGGUCACUAUCAACGAAGAGAUUCUUUGGUCCAGAACAACGCACGACCAGUGUGCAAAAGUUAAUCGGAAACAACAUCAACUCCUUCCUCACUCGAAGCCUCAAUCCAUUCGGGGGCUAAUGAUGGGGUCAUGUACCUAAGGUAGGGCCACAGACCUGAUCUAAGUUCCCUGCCCAAGGACACCCUUAGAAGAGGUCACCUUCCAGUCGACCAACGAGAGACACACUCGACUACCUUGAAGGACUCGACCACGAAGACUCACUCGACCACCAGAAGGUCAAGAGGCACUCUGCACUGCAACGGCCUGUAAUUAAAGUAGACUUUAUGAUAGUAAAGACACUUUAUGUGGGGCGUUACCAGUAACGCCCCGGACUUAACUCACCUUAAACCCUCUCCUACGUGGGCUGGCUGGGGUCCUGGCGCACUCUAUAUAAGCCACACCCCUCCACAGGUAGAGGGGUUCGGCACCUUGUAACUCAUAUACACAUAAUCCACUCGACCGCCUCUGGGCUCCGAGACGUAGGGCUUUUACUUCUUCCGAGAAGGGCCUGAACUCGUACAUCCCUUGUGUUUAGAACCUCUCCAUAGCUAGGACCUUGCCUCUCCAUACCUACCCCCACUCUACUGUCAGGCUUAGAACCACGACAUCGUCCACGUACCCUCGUAGACCAUAAGCGGAAGCGUUUUAUCAACGCUUUUGAUGUAGUCGUACGUCUUCACGAUCCGACCGAUCCAAGUACGGAACGGACGACACCCCCAAGUUCAGCACACGUUCAGCUCGAUGACGUCCCACGAACUCACGAUCCAGCAGAGUGUCGAGGGAGAGUUUCGUUAGCAUGACGGCGUGAUGACGAUGAUGAUGAUGCUACCGACGCAGGGCUUCGCCUAAGCACCACUACGAUAUGACCGAGGUGGACUAUGGUGGAGGGGGGCACCACACACGGCUUGGAACAAUCAACUUGUCUGUCUUAGGAUGCCCCCCGCCCCCGUAUAUAAAGGAGCAAGGGGGGAGGCCGGCCAGCCUUGGUGCGCCCCAAGGAGAGGAGGAAUCCUCCUCCUAGUAGGAGUAGGAUUCAUCCUUUCCUAGUCCUACGAGGAAGGGGGAAGGGGGAAGGAAAGAGAGGGAGAGGGAGAGGGAAAGAGGGGCCGCACCCCCUCCCCUAGUCCAAUUCGGACUCCCCAUGGGAGGGGGCGCGCCACCUCCUGGGCUGCUGCCCUCUCUCUGCCCUAAGUCCCACUAAGGCCCAAUACUUCCCCGGGGGGUUCUGGUAACCCCUCCGGCACUCCGGUUUUGUCCGAAAUCACCCGGAACACUUCCGGCGUCUGAAUAUAGUCGUCCAAUAUAUCAAUCAUUAUGUCUCGACCAUUUCGAGACUCCUCGUUAUGUCCGUGAUCACAUCUGGGACUCCGAACUACCUUCGGUACAUCAAAACACAUAAACUCAUAAUACUGAUCAUCACCGAAACUUAAGAGUGCGGACCCUACAGGUUCGAGAACUAUGUAGACAUGACCGAGACAAGUUUCCGGUCAAUAACCAAUAGCGGAACCUGGAUGCUCAUAUUGGCUCCGACAUAUUCUACGAAGAUCUUUAUCGGUCAAACCGCAUAACAACAUACGUUGUUCCCUUUGUCAUCGGUAUGUUACUUGCCCGAGAUUCGGUCGUCGGUACCUCAAUACCUAGUUCAAUCUCGUUACCGGCAAGUCUCUUUACUCGUUUUGUAGUGCAUCAUUUCAUGACUAACUCAUUAGUCACAUUGCUUGCAAGGCUUAUAGUGAUGUGCAUUACCGAGAGGGCCCAGAGAUACCUCUCCGACAAUCGGAGUGACAAAUCCUAAUCUCGAUCUAUGCCAACUCAACAAACACCAUCGGAGACACCUGUAGAUCACCUUUAUAAUCACCCAGUUAUGUUGUGAUAUUUGGUAGCACACAAAGUGUUCCUCCGGUAUUCGGGAGUUUCAUAAUCUCAUAGUCAACAUGUAUAAGUCAUGAAGAAAGCAAUAACAACAUACUAAAUGAUCAAGUGCUAAGCUAACGGAAUGGAUCAAGUAAAUCACAUAAUUCUCUAAUGAUGUGAUCCCGUUCAUCAAAUGACGACUCAUGUCUAUGGCUAGGAAACUUAACCAUCUUUGAUUAACGAGCUAGUCAAGUAGAGGCAUACUAGUGACACUUUGUUUGUCUAUGUAUUCACACAUGUACUAAAUUUCCGGUUAAUACAAUUCUAGCAUGAAUAAUAAACAUUUAUCAUGAUAUAAGGAAAUAUAAAUAACAACUUUAUUAUUGCCUCUAGGUCAUAUUUCCUUCAGUCAAGGUGCACGGCGGUGGCGGUGGCAGUGGGCUCUCUACUUUCGUUCGAGCUGGUCGACUUCAAGAGGGCUAUCGUGUUGCGCUUUCGCAUCUUCGAGGCCGCGGUGAAGGUGUCACUACAUGCGCUUGGGGAGGUGCAUGUUUGUCUUCGAGGAUGCAGCGGUCCGUGCCCGUGUGCUGGGCGGCCAAGGCCUGUUGGUGCUCAGGCGUGCGUCAUUCAUGGUGGCGCGAUGGUCGCAAUUCCAGCGUGCCUCCCCGGUGAGGUUGCUGUUCAAGGUGCACGUCUGCUUGAAGGGAGUGCCGGAGCACGCAUGGGACGUGGACUUCGUGGCCUCGCUGUUUGAUCCCUCCAUGCUUAUUGAUGGGAUUGAUGAGGAGGUGAGGAGGGAGGAGGAGACUGCUGCCGGCGCCUUUAGUUGUGGAUGGACGCUGUAGAGAAGCUCAAAACCAGGGGUAUUCUGCAACUGGAAGAGCCUCGAGAGUUGGGUUCGCCGGGAGCUCAACAUCUUCGAGGACGCGGCACCGCGCUGGGGAAAGGUGGGCAUGCUUUGAUAGAUGUGUCGGGGAGGAGGGGGAACCCGCCAACCCUCGAUCACCGCUGCCGUGUACUAAAACUAGCACAAAUUCAGCUUUUACAUAUUUGAGAAAGCGUCCUAUAAAUUUUGAUCAUAGUCCACUUUGAUAGAUGUAGUGCGAAUUUACAAACCCUAAUGCAAAAAAUCUCCAACCACGUGAUACAUAUAAACAAAAAUAAUAAGACAAAUUACGUAGUACAUUUUUGUGUGAAGUUUAAGAUCGAUGGGAUCAAUGCUUUGACCCAAAUUUAUUGAUAGUUAUGCUGUAUUAGUUUUCAUCCAUCGCCUACAUGCUCGGCGGCUAUUGAAAGCAAGGAAUUCCAUCACCAAAUACUUUGCUUCUCUCUUGGAUAAUGUUCUCCUUGGGCUUAGCCUUCAUAGGGCCUAAAUGAUUUUUGGAGGUUGAGGCCAAAAAUCUCAUUCCAGCUGGGACCCUACUUGAUCCUUUAUUAUAACUAGGCAACAACAAAAAUAUAGAGGCCUAGUACAAGGGUCUCUCCCCCCGUUCUUCCUUCUCGAAUCGCUAGCGUGGAUGAACAAUUCUAGAGCGUGUCAUUUCCUUCUCCUCCAUUAGACGGGUUCUCCACUCCUGGACUACCUCAGCACCGCCGAUCGCUCCUAAACCUUUGCGAAUAGCCCGCCUACCUCUUCGGCCCCUCCUAAACCUUUGCGAUUAUCCCACCCACCUCUCCGAUCACCUCAUUCCCUCACUACCACUAUCGAGCACUCCCAAAGGCUCAAACCUUUGUAACCACCCCAAAUCCGGUGCCCGCUGAUACCCGAGAUGGCAACAUUGUUUGUCCUUUAGUCGACUACGGGAAAGCUCCUCCAUGCCUACAUCCUUGCUCCUUCUGAGACCGAGAGUGUAUCAUGUCUCUGCAUUUGCGUGUGCUACAUAGACAUGAGAUGCAAUGCAAGACUCACUCCCUUGCUAGCAUCAGUGGGAGCAUGAAUAUAUAGUUGAUGCAAGGCGGAACAGUGCUCAGCAGCAACACGACAUGGCAAGACGAUGGGAAAAAAGCAUCACACCAAUAAUAAAUGCGUCCCAUGUAUAAAUGAUUACCCAAAUAAAAAAUGAAGUAUAAGAUAAACCGGGCCAUUGCAAGAGUUAGAGUCGGUUUUUGGUGCAGGCUAUUCAUAAUGCUGAAGAUCCUCUACAAAAAAAAUUAAAAUCGACGGAUCCAAGAUAUGAUUUUCUUAUUCUAUAUAAGGAAAUAAAAUCACAAUAUCCACACAAAUAUUAAUCACAUCCUUCCUUAUAAGAAAAGAGGAUUCUUUAGCUAGUAGUAAUAAUUCUUGCAAGAGGAGGAUGAGCAAUGUCCAUGUGUGAGAGUGUCACCGGGGGCAAAUCCGUCAAUCCCUCGCCCACCGCUGCCCGCCGUGGACUAGCCACGCAUCACCAUCACCGUCACCGGCCGCCCCCCGCUAGCACUCAACUCCGCCUCCGCCGCCGCGUCCCCGGCGGCCACCGCCCCCGAAAUGCCGCACCCUACUCCGCUGCGGCGUCUCCUCACCCGGCGCCGCGUGGUCCUCGCCUGCGCCGCCGUCACCGUGCUCGCGGCGGCCGCGGCUCUGCUUCUCGCCGCUCCGACCACCGAGGUCCCCGGCCGCGCCCUGCUCGUGGCUGGCGCCCGCCUCCACCCCAGGCCCCGCGAGGUGCCCCGUGCCGCCGCGGCGGGGCGCUCCCCGGACGACGCCCCCUCGCUGCCGCCGGCCCCGGCGCCGCCGCCUCCUCCCCUCAAUGCCAAGGUGCGUGCCGAGCUUCCGCCGCAGAGAUUAAUUUUGUGCUCCCCAAGUCCAUGAUGCAGAUUGCAAAAAGCACAUAUCUGAAAUUUAUGAGCUGCCGACUGCUGGCUGCCGUUACUGUUCUCGGUUGAAAUGCAGUCAAAUCUGGCUUAUUUUACCUGUGUAACUCUUGCUGAACAUUUGUGCAAACCUAAACAUAUACAGAGAAAUUCUUAAUCAUGAGCUGAAAUGCAGCAUCACUGCAAUGCUGGACUUUGGGUGAUUUGAUUUGAACAUAUAUGUGGGAUAGGUGAAUGUGAUACAGUUGGAUGGAUCUGAGUGCGCAAAAUGCGCCUGUUUUGUUUCGCAGGCUGGUUUGCCAUCUAAGAUUUCGCCGGCCCCUUCCAUGUUUUCGGCGCCGGUGCCUUCGCCGGCAGAGAAUUUUGAUGAUGGGUCAACGGAGGAACCCGAGCAUCCCGAUAUGAAGGUAUUUAUUUGCAUUUCUGUCUGCGAACUUUGAUGACGAGACAGUGCUGGUUUUGUCGUGCUCCGCGUUGUCCAGUUACGCUCAUGCAUAGGUUUAUUAACCUUAUUUCUAUUGGAUGUGCUUAUGCUGAUGUACGAUAGGAAGGCUUGCAUGCUGAGCUAUGUUUUUUAUACGGGUAGAAUAUCCGUAUGUCUUAUUAUGGCCUCUAAUUAAAUGUUACUGGUUCGCUAGGAAAAUCCACUCAAGGAAUCGGCCCCUUUUCUCCAGGAGGUACAUAUCUAGCGCUGGGUAGACUUUUUUUAUCAAUUGAAACUUCUAAUUUUAACCUUUAUAAUUGUGAAGCCCAUUUCCAGUGGUCCUCCUACAAGGAGCUCUGAUAUCAGUGAACCCCUUGACAAGAGUGGAAAUGCAGAACCGCCUCCAAGGCCAGAGGUUAGGGAUUUACCCCUCGUGUGAUGCAAUUUCUGUAUUCGGCAUCUGGAGUCAACAUGGUAAAAAUAUUUGUCGAUUUAGCAGAUGCCGCUUUGGUCAACAACGGCAGAUGAAGAGCUUAUAUAUGCAAAGAAAGAGAUUGCCGAUGCGCCAUUGGUAGUUGGUGACCCUGAUUUGUAUGCACCUCUGUUCAGGAACAUAUCUGCCUUUAGGAGGUAAGGUGCUGGUUUGCCUUCAUAUUCUCUAGCUAUAAUUGGUAUGUACCAUCCUGUAAAGUAUGGACUCGCUCAUCUAACUGUCCAGUUAUAUGUAGGCAACUUUCUCGUUCUGUCAUUUUGCCCAUAAACUGAAAUAAUGUUUAAUUUUCUUCAGUUCAGUAGAUGGUUUAUUAAAUUUCUAUCAACUUAUGCUUGUAGGAGUUAUGAACUGAUGGAGAGGCUUCUUAAGGUUUUCAUAUACCAUGAUGGAGCAAAACCUAUUUUUCAUUCUCCAGAGUUGAAAGGCAUCUAUGCUUCCGAGGGAUGGUUUAUGAAACUGAUGGAGGCAGAUCAGAAUUUUGUUGUGAAGGAUCCGAACAGAGCUCAUUUGUUCUACCUGCCAUAUAGCGCUCGGCAGCUGGAGCAUAAUCUUUAUGUGCCUGGAUCAAAUACACUCGACUCGCUGUCUAUAUUUGUGAAAAACUACAUAGAUAUGAUCUCUGCUAAGUUUCCGCAUUGGAAUAGGACGAAAGGCGCUGAUCAUUUUUUCGUUGCUUGCCAUGACUGGGUAUGUUUCUUCGCCUACCUGCAUAUUUGAAUCUUUGAGUAAUCAUUGGCCAUGACACAAAUUGUACACUGUGUUUUAGUCAAUUGUUGUAAAUCAGAUAUUUACAUACAAAACUGUAUUCUAUUCCUGACAUGAGGUCUUUUUUCGCAGGGACCUUAUACGACCAAAUUACAUGAUGAAUUGCGGAAAAACACCAUCAAAGCUCUCUGUAACGCCGAUGUCUCAGAAGGGGUUUUCAUCCGCGGAAGAGAUGUGUCCCUUCCAGAAACAUAUAUCAAGUCUGCAAGGAGACCUGUGAGAGACAUCGGUGGAAAGCCAGCGGCAGAGAGAUCUAUCCUGGCGUUCUUUGCAGGGCAGAUGCAUGGCCGCGUUCGGCCCGUCCUUGUCAAGUACUGGGGAGGCAAGGACGCGGACAUGCGAAUAUACACCCGGAUCCCACGCCAAAUCACCCGGCGGAUGAACUAUGCCAAGCACAUGAAGUCGAGCAAGUACUGCAUCUGUCCCAUGGGGUACGAGGUGAACAGCCCCCGGAUCGUGGAGGCCAUCUACUACGAGUGCGUACCGGUGAUCAUCGCCGACAACUUCGUGCUCCCGUUCGACGACGUACUUGAUUGGACCGCGUUCUCAGUGGUCGUGGCAGAGAAAGAUGUACCCAGGCUGAAGGAGAUCCUGCUGUCGAUCCCGGAGAACAGGUACAUAACCAUGCGGUCUAAUGUGAAGAAGGUGCAGAGGCAUUUUUUGUGGCACACAAAGCCCGUCAAGUACGACAUCUUCCACAUGAUCCUCCACUCGGUUUGGUUCAGCCGGGUGAAUCAUAUCAGGUGCACCAAGUAGAGCAGUAGCAGUGUAGCACUAGCUAUAGCCAUCAUCCACCUUUACUCAGGUACGGUCUCUAGUCUGAAGGAAGGAAAUGGAAGGAGGUGAUGUAACCUGACGUCGAUAGACACCAGUAGUAUUCUAAUAGUAACCUGAGCUAUCCUUUGCCUUGCAAAGAAAAAGGAGAGAAAAUUACAGAGUUGAGCUCCUGACGUUACUGAAUGUGGCGACAGAACAUUUACAUGUGCAUGGGUCGAAUCAACUAACAGAGACAGAGACAUAUGACCUUUACAUUGUUACUGAUAUGAUAAUUGGUCCUGGCAUAUGACCUUGACCUUGACAUUGUGCAUUAGCUCUAAAGUUUCUCUCUUUCAGGGUGAGACAAGGGACCGGUUUGCAUCCACACUAGCUGGGAAAACAUUUUUUGCUGUUGUUGAGGUGAACAAUGACAGUCACUCUUGAUUGCACAUUUUGUUCUUCAAAGAGGAAGUAUUGAUUGCACUUUUUGGCGUCGAAACUUCAGAUGAAUGUUUAACAGUUUGUAGUAGCUUGUCAGAAGUGAUUAGACUAGGUGAAGAUCUCACCUUUUACUUGAAGACUGGNNNNNNNNNNNNNNNNNNNNNNNNNNNNNNNNNNNNNNNNNNNNNNNNNNNNNNNNNNNNNNNNNNNNNNNNNNNNNNNNNNNNNNNNNNNNNNNNNNNNNNNNNNNNNNNNNNNNNNNNNNNNNNNNNNNNNNNNNNNNNNNNNNNNNNNNNNNNNNNNNNNNNNNNNNNNNNNNNNNNNNNNNNNNNNNNNNNNNNNNNNNNNNNNNNNNNNNNNNNNNNNGGAGUUGUUUUUUUUUUUUUUUGCUACUGUUCUAUCGUAGAUUACAAUUCGACUGAGCACAACACAGUUCAGGAACUGAGAUAAACAAUUUUUUGGUUGGAGUAGAUUUGUUUUCUUCUGUUUUUGUAUACAUGGCUAGAUUUUUCUUUUUUUCUUUUGGUUUGUCGGCAAAGGGUUGAAGGAUUAGCCAUUAGCCUCCUUUCUGAUAUAUUCUAUGGUUUCUUUUGUUUGGAGUUUUUUUUUCCCUGAUUCUGGAGACACGGUCAUUUACAAACAAUACUACAAUUCAGGAACUGAGACAAAUGUGUGCUUCAUUUGCUUGCUCUGUUGGCAAAGGGUUGAAUGAAUGAUCCAACAGAGCAAACAAAUUCCAUUGCUCCAUUGUAUGUUCCCUCAACAUUUACGCACUCGAACAAUAUUAUAAAUAAAUUCAGCAGCACAGGAUGGACAAGUGUUUUUUGUGUUGGCAAAACAACACUAGAGUUAAUUCAGUAUCUGAUAACAAUACUAUCUGUUCAUUCAGUAGGACAAAUAUGGAAGAAGAUAUCUGAUAACAAUAGUUUUGGAACUGUAUACCACGGUUGUAAAUCAGAGAAAUAUUCCGGAAAUUUUGAUUACACGACUGCAGAAGGAAGUAGCUUCUUCUCCCUCUGUAUUCUGUAUAGACAUGGCCUUCUUUAAUUUAAUUAUAUAUGCAACUCAACAAAUACUGUUGGAGUCAUAGACUUGUUUAUUACUUGACUUGCUCACUGUCGGCAACAUUCACAGCCACAUUGUUCUUCUUACUUUUCCAUAACUCUAGGUCUGCAGCCUGUCCAAGAAGCAGACUCAAAUAACCCAAUCUAACAAAAAAAACUUGGGCCCAACUGGCUUUGCCUCAGGACAAAUGAUAAAUUAGUAUGAUCGCAACUUCUGAUCCCGUCCCAAUACAGUAAACCUUGAUAGGUCUUGGAGUUUAAGAUGUUUCUCAUCUAGCAAUACCCUACUUCAGCCCUGUUGGUCUAUCCAUACGCGAAACUCGAACACAUCUACACGAAAUCUCAACCUGCUCCUGUAAAACACAAACCAGAAUAAAAUGAAUCCAAAAAUCAUACGGGUAGGAACUUGGCAAUCUGUACUUAUCUGUUUUUCAACACGUGAUCUCGACCACUUUUCAUGUGGUUACGAUUAUGAAUGGCACAUCUUACCCCCGUCUGGGAGGUCCGGUGGAAUCUUGCUAGGCAUCCAUUCCACGUAUUUGGAACUUUUGUCCACGUCAAAGGGGGAAUAUCAUAUCAAAUUUCACCUUUGAAACAAGUCCAACUAUUUCCUUUGGAGCCUUGUGGCUGUAUAUGGCGCCGCUCAGGACGAGUUUAAGUCUGCUUUUCUAAAGGAACUUGUUAAUACAUGCCGAGACAAUCCCCAUCCCAUGUUAAUCGGGGGGGAUUUCAAUAUCCUUCGAUAUCAGCAGGAAAAAAACAAUGACCGGUUUGAUACUAGGUGGCCUUUCCUAUUCAAUGCUGUUAUUGACAGCCUAGAUCUACGGGAGCUCACUAUGUCUGGUCGUCAGUAUACCUGGGCCAAUAACCGAUCAGUUCCAACUUUCGAAAAACUUGACCGGGUGAUGGUUACCACCGACUGGGAAUAUAAAUACCCCUAGCCUCGGUACGGGCACUAGAAAGGAUCGAGGCCUUAUCAGAUCACGCUCCAUUGCUAACCGAUUUUGGACAAACACCUCCAAGUUCUAACCGUCAUCAGUUUAAAUUUGAAUUGGGAUGGCUCACUAGAGAGGGAAUCCUGGACAUGGUCAAGAAAGUGUGGGCGCGUCAACCUCGCGGCAACACGCCCAUUCAACGAUGGAACAAUCGAAUUCGCGCCUUGCGCCGAUUCCUUCGUGGAUGGGCUAAACACACUGCUGGCAUUUACAAAAAAGAAAAGUUGCGGCUUUCUACUUUAAUCAAUACCCUCGAUAAAAUUGCGGAGGUGAGGCCUCUUUCUACUAAUGAGAUUGAGCAAAAAAGCCAUCGUAAUGAGCAGAUUGCACGCUUGCUUCGUGAGGAAGAGAUUAAAUGGUACCAACGUUGCAAGGCUGAUUCGCUCGUUCAAGGUGAUGAUAAAUACGAAAUACUUUCAAUUGCUAGCCAAUGGCAGACAUAGAAAGAAACGUAUCUUUGCUCUUGACCAGGAGGAAGGCCGUAUUGAGGGGGAAGCACCGCUCAGAGACUUUAUUACUAAAUACUACAAAGAGCUUUUUGGCCCUUCCACUAAAACACAUUUUGAGCUGGACGAGUCUAUCACUCAUGACAUCCCUCAAGUUUCGGAAGCGGAAAAUGAAUUCUUAACCUCUCCAUUUUCUGAAGAGGAAAUUCGAACCGCGAUGUUUCAAAUGGAACACAACAAGGCUCCGGGACCGGAUGGUUUUCCGGCAGAGUUUUAUCAAUGCUUUUGGGACGUGAUCAAGGCGAACUUGAUUCAGUUGUUUAACCAACUGCAUACCAAAGACCUUGAUAUUUCCCGCUUAAACUUUGGGGAGAUUAUCCUACUGCCUAAGAUUAAAGAGGCCAGUCGUAUUCAACAAUAUCGACCGAUUUGUCUUCUCAAUGUAAGCUUCAAAAUCUUUACGAAGGUCGCAACAAACCGGUUGAACAGGGUGGCGGACCAUGUCGUCAAGCCCACUCAAACAGGAUUCAUGCAAGGACGCAACAUACUAGAUGGUGUGGUUGUGCUGCAUGAAACGGUACAUGAGCUUCACCGCAAAAAGUUGAAUGGAGUGAUCUUUAAAAUAGAUUUCGAAAAAGCCUAUGAUAAAGUUAAAUGGCCCUUUCUGUUGAAAACUUUACGCAUGAAGGGGUUUUCACCAAAAUGGUGUCGAUGGGUUGAGAGUUUUGUUUCUGGAGGUAGUGUGGCCAUCAAAGUUAACGAUGAGGUUGGCAACUAUUUUCAUACAAGGAAGGGGCUUCGCCAAGGGGACCCCGCAUCACCCAUUUUGUUUAACAUUGUGGCUGACAUGCUAGCUACCUUGGUUGAGCAGGCUAAGGUGGCCGGUCAGGUUAGCGGCGUCAUUCCUCAUUUGGUAGAAGAGGGUUUAUCUAUCUUACAAUAUGCGGAUGACACGAUACUUUUCUUGGAUCAUGAUAUAGAUAAAGCAAGAAAUCUCAAGCUGCUUUUAUGUGCAUUUGAGGAACUUCCUGGCCUCAAGAUUAAUUUUCAUAAGAGCGAACUUUUUUGCUUUGGGGAUGCUGCAGAAUAUGCACCUGAGUAUGCUGAAAAAUUUGGAUGUCAGCUUUGGCAGUUCCCGAUUCGGUAUCUGGGUAUUCCCAUACACUAUCGACGUUUAACUAUCGCUGAGUGGAAGCACGUGGAAGAGAGACUUGAGAAACGGCUAGCCAGUUGGAAAGCCAAACUCUUGUCAUGUGGGGGGCGGUUGAUCUUGAUCAAUUCUGUCCUAAGCAACAUGGUUUUAUAUAUGUUGUCAUUCUUCCAUCUACCGAAAGGGGUUCUUCAGCGUCUUGAUUACUUUAGAUCUAGAUUUUUUUGGCAGUGCGAUAAUGAAUCAAAGAAAUACCGACUGGCUAGGUGGACUGUAUUAUGUCGACCUAAAAGUCAAGGGGGACUUGGAAUUCAGGACCUUGAGAUUUAAAAUAUUGCUCUUCUCAGCAAAUGGGUUUAUAAACUACUCACUAAGAAUAGAGUAUGGCAGGAACUCAUUCGUAAUAAGUACGUGGAAUCCAAAGCCAUUUAUCAAGUCCAUUGGAAACCUGGUGACUCACAUUUUUGGUCUGGUGUCAUGAAGGCCAAGGAAUUCUUUUUCCAAUUUGGGACUUUCUCGGUCAGGGACGGUUCCCAGGUUCGAUUCUGGGAAGACACCUGGCUAGGGACCACACCACUCAUGAUGCAAUACCCGAGUUUGUAUAGGAUUGUUAGACAUAAAUUUGUCACCAUUAAACAAGUUUUGGGACAAGAAAACCCUGAUAUUUCUUUCCGUAGGGACCUAUCAGGACCUCGCCUGACAGCUUGGAAUGAGCUACUCAUACGUCUAGAGGCUAUUCAACUAUCAGAUGAACCGGACAUCUUCCGAUGGAAUUUGCAUCAGAAUAGCAAGUUUACAGUCAAAUCCAUGUAUGAUGCAAUGGUUCAUUGUGAUGUUCCGGUUGAUAACAGGAAAUUGUGGAAGCUUAAAAUCCCUCUAAGAGUGAAGAUAUUCCUCUGGUUCCUAAACAGAGGGGUCAUCUUAACUAGAGAUAACCUGGCACGACGCAACUGGCAAGGCACCAAGGCGUGUGUCUUUUUCCAACAUGACGAGUCUAUUAAGCACUUAUUUUUUGAGUGUAAGUUCGCUCGGGCGGUUUGGGUCAUAGUUCAAGUAGCUUUAAAUUUAUACCCACCAUGUAGUGCUCGUAACAUGUUCGGCAAUUGAUUGAGGGGUAUUGAUAAACAAUUUUUUGCACAUAUUCUUGUGGGAGCGGCUGCCUUAUGCUGGACAUUGUGGCUUACCAAGAAUGAUGUGGUUUUUAAUAAAAAAAUGUGUUUCGUCUCCUAUGCAGGUUAUUCAUGUAUGUACGCGAGGGCUCCGUACUUGGUCUAUCCUGCAGAGGACGGAGGACAGGGACCUUUUUAUGAUGGCGUCUACGCGGCUGGAGCGUACGGCCAGGGAGGUUUUCUCCCCCAUGGAUGGCAGUGUGAUCUCCGGAUAGGAUCUGCCACAUCGUAGGCUGGACUUAUUUAUCUUUUUAAGUUGUAAAACGUUUUUAUUUUUUGGUCGGUUGGACUUCUCUGCUGUGUGCAUCGAGUUAUGCAGAGGUCGGGCAUUCUUUAGAUGCGAUUGUAUCACCUCGAUAUAUCAAUUCAAUGAAAUGUCCUUUAUCAAAAAGUCUGUUUGACAAAAGCAGUUCACAAAGUUAGUUCACAAAAUCAGUUCACAAACCAUCGUUAAGAGUUCUUUUGCUGUAGAUUGAUAGUUACAUAUGGGAUCCUAGAUCUGGGUCUCCCGGAUCCAAAGAUGACGGUGCCCUCGGUGCCAUUCUCCCUCCUGGGGGCAUCGUUUUGGAGUAGGUGCUGGGUGGAGGAGACAAAAAGAGGAGCGGUGGUAUAUCUACCACAGGGCCGACGGCGUGUCUCGGCGGCAUGGCGCAACAGAUAAGUACUUUGGUGAGUCCCUGAUCUCCUUCUCUGUCAGCUAUUCGUUGCUAGUAUUACAAAGCCGAUGAUUGGCGUAUAAUUCUUUUUCUCACACCUAUCCUGCGUACGCUUUAUAUAAUCCGUCGAUAUUAGGCCAAAUGCUUUAAGAAGAAGAAAAAUGCUUUCUUAUCAUGAUUGAUUACCACUAACAAUACAUGAUUGAUACUAUCAAUCUUAUCAAGGAGCUGUUAUGAGGUUUUAUAGCUGGAGUUCUAAGUAACUAUUACUUAUGACGGUAAGCUCAAUCACUUUGUUCCUUUUUUGACGUGAUUUCACCUUCUUUUGGGUUCGGGCUUUCUAGUGUUACGUGUUAGUGGUUUUACUGUGGCUUCAACACAAAUUCAGGAGAAGAAAACACUUUUUUUUAUGAGAAAACUUUUGAUCUAUCUAUCUUCAAUCAUGGCACCACCUAGCGAUGACUAUAAGCACUAAAGCGACCCGAAGGCGCGCCACCGUUAUCGCCCCUCCCUCGCCGGAGUCGGGCACAACUUGUUGUUGUAGAUAGUCAGGAAGUCGUCGUGCUAAGGCCUCAUAGGACCAGCUCACCAGAACAGCAACCGUCGCCGAGGAAGAACAAAGUAGAUUGAAAGGAUCCAACCCAAAGACACACGGACAUAGACGAAAAAUAACCAAAUCCGAGCAAACCCACCGAGGAUAGAUCCGCCAGCGACACACGUCCAUACGCCCACGAACGAUGCUAGACGCAUCACCGAGACGGGAGCUUGGCGGGGAGACCUUUGUUCUAUCUUCAGAGAGCCGCCGCCGUCUCGCCUUUCUGAGCAAGACACAAUCCCUAACAAAACUCGAAGAAAUGACUAACAACAAAGCUCUCCCGCCGGCCAUUGCUAGGACCACCGUGCCGCCAUGGCCAUAGGGCCAUCGGAGAUGCGGCGGACCUGCAGUGGCGCCGACGAGAGGCACGAACCCUACCCUUUUUGAGGAGCAGGUCGCGGCUAUGUUGCUGUAUCUAACGAGUCCCGUAACUGCAAAGUAGUAAAAGUUUUGGACAAGAGAAGAAAAAGCUAUCAACACGUUCACGAUUGCUAGAGCCAGCAAACGCGCGAUACUAUACUACAACCCAACCAGGCUCCUUGCGCCGCCACCCGUGAGGAAGCCUCCAGAGGGCGCGCCCGGCCGGCGGUGGCGGGGCUAGAUCUUCCCCUCACGUGAUAGGGUGGAGCGGUCUGCUCUCGUCGGGUCAGAUUUGGCCGGCUGGUGGCGCGGGAUGGAGGUUAUCGCUCCCCUUCAGGAUGGAGGUUAAUAACCUACAUCUUUCUUACCCUUCAUCGUCGAUGGUAUCAAAUUUUUCCAUGUGCAUGAUCCCACCCAAAUAUAUUCGACGCAACAUCACGGCCUUCUAUUGUAGCUAUAAUGAUUACCAUCAAGGGAGUAGCAUUUGGUUAUAUAACCCAGCUACAAGCAAAUCAAAAUCAUUAAUUGUGUUGACAAGGAAAGUAAAACAGAUCGGGGCUCCGGUUAUUAAGAUGGCACUCGGAGUAGGCCUUGACCUCCACCUUUCCUUUCUAACUGGCAUGUAUGUGCUCAGUAAUGACGAUGAAAAUCACAAGGCCGUGUACAUAAUAAAACUUGCAAAAGGGUGGAAGGAAACUUGCAAAAGGGCGGAAAGAUGAAUAGGUUGGUGACAACGACGAGAUGGAGCAAUUGUGAUAAUUGACAAAACAUAAUUUUGUUACCCCGUUACAACGCACGGGCUCUUUUGCUAGUUGUUUCCUAAUUUUUUUUUUGCAAUAAUAGGAGGUAUCGAUUGAUUUCGAUAAGUUACUAAAGUUACACCGGUGAUUGCGUGUAUGUUAGAAAAAUGCUGAUUUACAAGGAAAGAGCUGAGGGGUAAGUAAACUGGUGAAUAAGAAACCAGCUGGAGGGGAUGGUGGGAGGAGGGACGAAAAAAAAA
rnacentral:lncRNA from 1 species